rnacentral:lncRNA from 1 species
UCGCCCACCAGGCCUUAAUCCAGAACGGCGCCGUGUUUGCCGACCGCCCCCUGGCCUUGGCCACCAACAAGUACGUCACCAGCAACCAGCACAACAUCAGCUCCGCCAUCUACGGCCCCACUUGGCGCCUCCUCCGCCGCAACCUCACCUCCGAAAUCCUUCACCCUUCCCGCAUCAAAUCCUACGGAAACGCCCGCAAAUGGGUUCUCGAUAUCCUCGUCAACCGCCUCAAAACCGAGUCUCAAUCCCACUCCGAAGGCGGCGCCGUCGUCAGGGUGGUCGACCACUUCCAAUACGCCAUGUUCUGCCUCCUGGUCUUGAUGUGCUUCGGCGACAAAUUGAACGAAGAGCAAAUCAAAGAAAUCGAGCAUGUGCAUCGCCAACUACUUUUGAGUUCCAGGCGGUUCAAUAUCCUCAAUUUCAAGCCGAAAUUGACGAAGAUUAUCUUCAAAAAUCGGUGGCGGCAAUUCUUCAAAAUCCUCGAGGAACGACGAGAAGUGCUCGUCCCUCUGAUUCGAGCACGACAAAACAGGGCAAAGCAGGGCAGCAAAACCGACGACAAAGACGAUGAAUUUGUGUUGUCGUAUACUGAUACGCUGCUGGACCUCGAACUUCCCGACGGCAACGAAAAGCGGAAGCUUUCGGAGGGAGAAAUGGUCAGCCUCUGCUCAGAGUUUCUGAACGGCGGCACCGACACGACUUCCACCGCGCUGCAGUGGAUCAUGGCCAACGUAGUGAAGUACCCGCAAGUUCAGGAGAAGCUGUUUGCGGAGAUUAAAGGGGUGAUGGGAGAAACGGAGGAGGAGGUGCGGGAGGAGGUCCUGCACAAGCUGCCGUAUCUGAAAGCCGUGAUCUUGGAGGGGCUGAGGCGCCACCCGCCGGGGCACUUUGUGCUGCCGCACGCUGUGACGCAUGACGUGGUUUUGGGCGGACACGUUGUGCCCAAGAACGGGACCGUUAAUUUCAUGGUGGCGGAUAUAGGGUGGGACCCGCAAGUGUGGGAAGAUCCCAUGGCGUUCAAGCCGGAGAGGUUCUUGGGCAGCGGCGGAGGAGAAGAAGGGUUCGAUUUGACGGGGAGCAGGGAGAUUAAGAUGAUGCCGUUUGGGGCAGGGAGGAGGAUCUGUCCUGCAUCGGGAUUGGCGGUGCUUCACCUGGAGUACUUUGUGGCGAAUUUGGUUUGGAAGUUUCAGUGGAGGGCUGUGGAGGGAGAUGACGUUGACCUGUCAGAGAAGACGGAGUUUACUGUGGUGAUGAAGAAUCCAUUGCAAGCCCACGUAAUCCCUAGAAUUUAAUACGUGGGAGAAUUCUGUACUAAUUUUUCGAUGUACGUUCAACCGCUAAAUCCAUCAAUGUAUAGAGGGGUGGGUUCAAAAAACCGAAAAUCAAAAAUCAAACCGCACCGAAACCGAAAAAACCGAACCGAAUUGAAAAAACCGAACCGAAUCGAAUUCUUUUGGUUCGGUUUGGUUUUAGUGCUCUAGAAACCGAACUAAACCGAACCGAACCGAAUUAAUUAAAUUAAUUUUUUAUUUAAUUAUUUGUUUUGGGUAUUAUUUUCUAAACCCAAUUUGUAAGUUAAAAUGUGCUAAACCCAAUGUGUUGCCAAACUUUAAGCUCAAAAUAUUUAAAAAAGGCCUAUAAAAACUCUAAACCCUAACAUAUUAUUUAUCUCCCAUAUAAGGUUCUGGAACCAAACCUCCUCCAGAAGUACUUACAUCCAUCUCCAUAGCACUGCCUACUUCUGCCAUAGCUUUCUUUUCCAAAUCUACUCUCAUAUAACAUGUAACAGAAUCCAUAAACAUUUAUUUCGGGUAGAUUACUUGGGUAAUUUGUGAUGGAAAAGAAUCUAACACACACUAAAUAAAUCUACCCACGCAUUAUUUUUACUAAUCAAGUUGUCAACAUGCAAUUACAAGCAAACAACCUUGAUCUUUGAACAACAUCAUACAAUUUAACUUUUCUAAGUCAUUUGUACGAUUUUUGUGAGGUUGUUAGUUUGGACUUUGGAAGACUUGAUUGAUGAUUUUAGUUCAAUUUUAAAUGUUUAUUUUCAUUGUCUUUGAUUCUAGUUAGAAUGCUUAUGUUAUGAUUGUGUUAGAUAUGUUAAAAUUUAAAAUUUCAAUGUUUUUCAUUUUUUGAAAAAAAAAAACAAAAAACCGAAACCGAACCGAAAAAAAACCGAACCGAAAAAAACCGAAAAAAAAAUGAACCGAACCGAACUGAACCGAAAUUUCGGUUUGGUUUCGGUUUUGGCAAAAAACCGAACCGAUUUAAACCGAACCCACCCCUAAAUGUAUAUGCUCUUCAUUGAUUAUGCAAUUUCGAAAAUUUGGAAUUUUAGUUUACCAAGUGUGAUUCAAGACAGAUUUUAUAAUUUUAAUAUUUAGUGAGUGAUUUGAGUGAGCUGUAUUUGCUACCUUGAUUUUACACUUCCUCCAGUUUGCAUAUAUUCAGGCAAAAAAAGUUUUUCAAUCUCAUUUUCCACAUCAAUGACAUCAUGAAUAGUUGUAUUAGAUGUGGGAUACUUACUUGCACUAACUUUCAAGGUUAUAAGAUAGAAGACCUUCAAAAAUUCCACAAACAUUUCUACACCAUUCCAAUCUUCCUCCUUAGGUGGUCCAACCUUCCUUUUACUCGCCACUUCUUCUCCUUCAUCAUUAAGCACAUUUUUCCUGAAAUAGGUGGAGUAUAUAUUGGCUUCAUCAUCUUCGGACAUCCUUUCAAAUGCUUUUUUAAACUUCAAGCAAUAUUCUAGCAUUAUGUAUGUGCUAUUCCACCUAAUAGGCACAUCCAUAACAACUAGACCCCUAAUAUCCAACUUCUCAUUCUCCACACAUUUCUUGAAAUAACUAAACCUUCGGGGACUUGAUGUCACAAACCGCACGACAUUUCUAAAAACAUCCACACUUGUAUCUAAUCUUUUCAACCAAGUUGAUAAUAUGAGCUAAGCACCUCACAUGCAUAAACUUGUCAUUCAUAAUAAUUUUACUAUUAGGCUAUUUCUGCAUUUUUCGAACAACAUACUCAAUUGCCACCUUAUUAGCCGAUGCAUUGUCAACUGAGAUACACAUUACCUUUUCAAUCUCCCACUCAACCAAACAUUGCUCAAUCAUCUUCUCUAUUUCUUUGCCUUCAUGACUUGAAAUCAAACAAAAGUUUAGAAUCCUUUUAUGCAUAUUCCAUUCAUCAUCCACAAAAUGAGCAGUGAGCACCAUGUAGUUCAAAUUUUGCACACUUGUAACGCCCCGUCCCGAAUUAAUUCUUUAAUUCCAGAAAUAAUAUUAUUAAUAUUGAUAGGCCCAAACUAAACUCCACUUUAUUUAGCAAAUUUUAAAUCACAAAUCUUUAUUUAAAUAACUCAUUCACAUACAAAACCAUCAAUAUUAAUUAAAAAUCAAAACGUAUAGUUACCUUACCAAAUUUAUGUACUAAAAUUUAUUUAUUAUACUUUAUAAAAAUUUCUUCAUUUCCAAUAUGAUUCAUAAACAUUAUUAUUUUAUCAACCACACAAUUAUAAUCUCAAGAUAUUUCCAUUUUCUUUCAAUUGAUCAAAGUUCUCAAAAUAAGAAUAAUUCUCAAUUAAAGUGAAAUUCUCGAUUAUUUAAGGCCGCAUCUAACACUGUUAGACUGCCUACGUACCCUGUAACCGGAUCAAGCCUUUCGUAGUUCACAUUUCAAAAAUUCAACCAAAUCCCGAAUAUAUUCAAUUAACAAACGAUAUUAACUACUGUAUUUACAACGAUCUUGAUCUGAUUUCCUUGACAGGUUGAAUUUGUUGGUGGGGCGCUGAGAUGCGGUGAAUAUGUGACAUUACGCAAAGUUGGGGAUGCAAGCCAUAAGGUUCGUCAGAUACAGAUAUGCUAAUAGUAUUAGCACCCAAGUUUUUGGUACAACAGUUGCAUUUUUGCAGAUGGAAAAUCUGACUAGCGUAUUUACAUUUUUUGUCUUUUUUUGUAGGGUGGUGGUUCCGGCACCCAACAAAUUGUGAUCAAAGGCCCCUUAUGCAAGGAUUAUUACAAGAUUCGGGAGUAUCUCUACUCACAAUUUUAUUUGCUUUGAGUAGAGAUACAUAAUAUCAAACGCCUUCGGAUGAACAGUCAUUUAGUCGCGAUGUUAAUUUAUAGUGAUUUCAUGAAACACACUAAAGUUUAAUUUAAAUGUAGGACUUAUUUUCAGUUGAAGUUGUCAAUUCUGUUCAUGCAUGAUGGAAAUCUUCGAAACAAAUUGGCAGUUCAAGUAAAUCAUAUUCAAGGAAACAAAUCAUGUUUGAUGAGUUAGAGACGAACGUGUUAAAUUCAAAUAGUACCAAGACAUUACAUACGUACUAAAACAAAACAUCACAAACGAAUCACAGUUAAACAUUUUAACUUGUUUACGGGACAAUAUACAAGUGAGCCGGAAUAAUGCGGCAAACAUGGCACGUAAAUUACAAUGCAUUUUACUAUUUUAGCUUCUCAUCGAUACAAUGCUGCGUGAUUGGUUUGGGAUAUUUUGCUUGAGGCAAGAGUUGAUCUCCACGUCAACGUCAACGUUCGUCAGCAAAGGAGCUUUAUCCAUCUCUUUGUAUAAUAUGGAAAAUAACAAUUUAUUAAGCAGACGCAUUUGCCCUUUGUCCGAUUGCUGACGGACCAUGGAAACCUGGUUCCUGAUCCUCAUCGCCUUCUGCGUCUCCUUCCUCCUCAAACCCCUUCUUUCCCUAUUCCUACCCACUUCCAUCUCCAAACCCAAGCUCCCUCCUGGGCCCCGCGUCUUCCCCGUCAUCGGCGGCUUCUUAUUCCUCCUCAAAUCCUUCUCGGAGCUCGAGCCUACCAUCUGCAAACUCAAGGCCAAAUACGGGCCCAUCAUCUCCCUCCGCCUCGGCUCCCGCCCCGCCGUCUUCAUCGCCGACCGCUCCCUCGCCCACCAGGCCUUAAUCCAGAACGGCGCCGUGUUCGCCGACCGCCCCCCGGCCUUGGCCACCAACAAGUACGUCACCAGCAACCAGCACAACAUCAGCUCCGCCAUCUACGGCCCCACUUGGCGCCUCCUCCGCCGCAACCUCACCUCCGAAAUCCUUCACCUUUCCCGCAUCAAAUCCUACGGCAACGCCCGUAAAUGGGUUCUCGAUAUCCUCGUCAACCGCCUCAAAACCGAGUCUCAAUCCCACUCCGAAGGCGGCGUCGCCGUCGUCAGGGUGGUCGACCACUUCCAAUAUGCCAUGUUCUGCCUCCUGGUUCUGAUGUGCUUCGGCGACAAAUUGAACGAAGAGCAAAUCAAAGAAAUUGAGCGUGUGCAUCGCCAACUACUUAUGAGUUCCGGGCGGUUCAAUAUCCUCAAUUUCAAGCCGAAAUUGACGAAGAUUAUCUUCAAAAAUCGGUGGCGGCAAUUCUUCAAAAUCCUCGAGGAACGACGAGAAGUGCUCGUCCCUCUGAUUCGAGCACGACAAAACAGGGCAGCAAAACCGACGACAAAGACGAUGAAUUUGUGUUGUCGUAUACUGAUACGCUGCUGGACCUCGAACUUCCCGACGGCAACGAAAAGCGGAAGCUUUCGGAGGGAGAAACGCUCAGCCUCUGCUCAGAGUUUCUGAACGCUGGCACCGACACGACUUCCACCGCAAGUUCAGGAGAAGCUGUUUACGGAGAUUAAAGGGGUGAUGGGAGAAACGGAGGAGGAGGUGCAGGAGGAGGUCCUGCACAGGCUGCCGUAUCUGAAAGCCGUCAUCUUGGAGGGGCUGAGGCGCCACCCGCCGGGGCACUUUGUGCUGCCGCACGCGGUCACGCAUGACGUGGUUGUGGAUGCAAAUUUCUUCCUCCUUGAUCUUGGACAAUUUUGCACCUACAAAACAAUUAAUACCUUAGGUUAAGGCCAAGAGCCUCACGCGCCCACGAUGAAUGGGGGGGGCUUUGGCCGAAUAACCUCCGAUGCUAAAGUUAGAAUUUAGAGAGAAAGAGUGUUUAGAGAAUUUUGGGAUUUUUGCCAAAGUGUUGGAAUUGAUUUUUUGGUGAGAAUAGGUGCCUAUUUAUAGAGUUAGGAGGUGGCUAGGGUUUUUAGGUUUAAUUUAGGUUUAAUUAGCCAAUUUAUUAUGAUUAAUUGGCUAAUUUAAACAUAAAGGAAUGUUUUGAUGGUUAUGGGUUUAAUUGGCUAGUUGAAUAAGGAAAAAAUGAGGUAAAAACAUAUAUGAAAUAGGUUUUGAAUUGUUACCCAUUUUGGGUACUUCUGACUUGGUUGAUGGAUGAUUCUCCACUGCUCGCGUGUAGGAGACCCGGUAUGCCUCGAGGGUAUUUUUGUCCUUUUUGUCCAAAAAACCCAUGUGUCGCCUUGUGAAUAUUUUUGGCUCCACAAAUGCCCCCACACCUGUUGGGCUGCUCGCAGAAAAGGGCGGCAGGUGUAGAGAUUUUCUUGCUUUAGGAAACUUAGGACUGCUUCCUAUUUUGAUGUAGAUUCUCUCUUUAAUAGGAAAUUAGAUCCUUCUAGGAAAGGGAAAUAAAUUUCUCUCAAAACCUAUUUAAGUCCACCUUAAGUGGGUUAUUAAAUCAACUUUGGAGAGCGAUUUAUUCUACCCUACAAGAGAGAGAUAGCUUAGAGGAUAUUUGUUCCCCCUCCUCUAGCAAUCUUCUACAUCUUGCCCGUGCAAAUGACCGUCUUUCGUUGCUUUCUUCGUCUUCUUCGUGCCGCACCAAUGUAAGAAAAAUUUAAUUUUUCUUGCCUUAUUCUUGGAUAGUGCUAUUGCGAGGUAGCCGUCGGGGUGGUGUGGCAUGUCGGCUGGCAGGGGCCAGGAGCUGGCUCGGCAUGAGCUGAGGAGAUGUCGUGGCAGGGACCACUGCUUGGGUAGCUUGGCUUGGCCUGAGCCAAGGGCAGCUUGUGCAGCUGGGGUCGAGGAUUGUGGCGCUAGGGCACAAUGUUAGGCGAGCCGCAUAGCUCAUGUCCUUUGGGCUCUUGGACCUGACUCGGGCCAGGCUGGCGAUUGAGAGAAAUAAAGAGAUUGCGGGUCUCAUGGGCUGCUGGAAUGUUGGGCAUGCAUGCCUUCUGCCUGCUGGAAUGCUGGGUUGAGCUCCCCUGCUGAGUACCAUGAAUGUCGUUGGCUACUUAGUCUUCUUUGCUGAAAGAAAGGUGGGCUGCUCCAGAAAGAUGAGGUAAAGAGGAUCAAGGCGGAUGCAUUGGCUCGUCUGAUCGCUGUCGUGGAGCUUACUAUGAAUGAAGAUGGAAAGAAGAGAUCUUCCCCGCCUGCUCAUGAGAUGCCUAGUUAAGAAAAAACUGAAGACUUCUUCUGCUGUUCAUGAGGGUCCGCUUGCUACCGAGAGGUAUGUGAUUGACAUGACUUCUUCUAAUGGGAAGAAAAAUAAGGCUGCUAGAUCUGAGCAUGUGGCGUCUUCCAUGUUGAGAAUGGCUAGUACAAUUGUGGAUAAGAUUGCUUAGCGUAAAGGUUUUAUCAUGCCCCCAGUGCCGAAGUCUGUACCAGGACGUUCUUUGGGAGCCAAGUCCGGUUCACCUUUGUAGAGACUUGCUAUUAUGAAGAGUGGUAAGGUGGACUCUGCUACUAAAGUGGCGCCAAAGCCUGCUCCCUUUGCUGCUGAGAUUGAUUCGCCUCAGAUUCAAGAUCUUAAGCUUGCAAUUUCUGAGCUUCGUUUCACUGCUUAUGCUAAGAAGGGAGUGGAUGAGCUGCAGCGCGUCUGUGUUAGUCUGCUUAAGAAGAAUGAGCAGCUGAAGGGUGAGAAUGAUGGGCUUGAGGUUUUAAGACCUUCUCUAUUUCUCCGAAAGACUUGCUUGCUUUUACUUUUAAGGCUUCCAUUGGUGAAGUAGUUGGAGAAGUUAGUGCCCAAACUGGGGCAGCCGGGGGUGAAGUGCCGGAUGAUGCCGUUGCUAAGAGUAUUACGGCUGUUGAAGGUGUGGCGACCGAGUAGUCGUGGGAUGUCCAAACUGCUGUAGUGUAGUAUUUUAGGUAGCCUUUAGGAUUUUUCUUUGUUUUUUCCUUGUAGCUUUUGUUUUGCUUGAACUCCUUCGGCCUUUGCUAGUUGUUUAUAAACAUGUUUUCCUUCGUUUUUCUUUAUCUUCACUUCUUUUGUUCAUGCCCUAACCUUUAGACUUGAUAGACCAGUGGCAGGCAUGCUACUUUUUUAUAAGCAGACAAACUCGCGUAGCCUAUGCAGCCGUAGGUGUUGGUGUAGAACUUUGCAAAGUUGUUAGCCAUAGGGUUGGCAGCCGGAUGCCUUACUUACAGAAGCAGACAAGUCCGCGUAACCACUAGGCUGUUAACCUUGACUUUCUUCAAUUCCGUAGGUUGCGUAGCAAGUAUCACAACACUUUAGGACUUGGUGUAGGUUGUUCCGCGCUUGGCAGAGGUGAAGCUUAUCGACUACGUAGCAUGUCGGCAGUGGAUAAAACUUCGUAUAUGCGCGCUAGCUUGUUUAACCUUUCACAAGAAUGUGCGGUUGUAUAAGUCUAGUGCGGCUUCACUGCUCGAAGGGCAAGCCGUAGGCAGUCUUCCGGAAUCCGUAGGCUACCUUAGUGCACUCGGUAGCAGCUUUAGGAUUCCAGGGCAGCCGUCCAUCGGAUGUACUGCGUAAUGUGCCCUCUCCGUCUCUAGGGCCCGGUUCCCUACGGAUUAGGCCAAGAGACCCAAAAUCCUUCAGUUAGCUAAGCCUUGAAAAAGACCAUUGCGGCUACUUCUAGGAAUCCCGGCGCAAGCCAUCGUGCAUCUAGUUAUACUAGGGCAGCCAGGCUCAUCCACGUCUGGAUAUUCGGAGUGUAAAGUUUAUCCUCCCGUCUUGGAGAGCUGACCCAUAUGGGUGUUGGAGAAUUGGUUUACCCUCUCGCACUGGAGAGCAUGGUUGGUCCCUCGGGGGGCGCAAUUCCUGCGAUGAGUCCCUAAGAAGGGCGCAGUCUUCUCUUUUGAAGUGCAGGAGUGAUUAGUUGUUGUAAGCAUGCAGCCAAGCCAAGUUGUGAUUACUUCUAAAUUCCUCAUUGAAAAACGAGUGAAACGAACGAGAACUUUAGCUGUAAGGUAGGAACUGCAUAACAACUGGAUAGUCCUCAGCUUGUGAGGUGGUGCCCGUCGAGCUUAUUGAGUCUUCGGGUUUUGAUGUAGCAGGAGGUCACACAUGGUACUUCUUCAGAUUGUAGGCCAUCCAUUUCUUUUCAAUCUUUUUGCCGCUUCAUGGUGGUGAGGGUGUAAUUACUCUUGCCCCCUACUCUGCUGAUCUUGUACGGACCUUCCCAGAUGGGAUCCAUCUUUUUGGAGCCUUCUCUGCCGGCAGUGAUGAAGGUUUUUUUGCGUCGUCGACAUGCAAAUGCCAGAAGUCUCCAUCGGGUGGAGUAGGCGCAGCUAGAGUGUGCUCGGCUACUUCUGAGGCAUCGUUGGGCCGCUCUGUUGCGUCACCUAGGCUCGGCGUGAAGACGCAGUAGGGAGCUGUGGAGAUGGGGCCAUGUCAUACGCAACAGGAGAUGCUCAACUGCCGGUAUUGGGCCACUCUAGAGUUGAAUCAUUGAGCAAGGGUCGGCUAGGGCCGUGUGAUGCGCAGCAAGAAAUGGUACUCAACUGCCGGUACAUGUGUGCUCCUAUGUAGAAUCUUUUAGGGUGACGAGGACAAAACUUGCUUUCGAGUGUGUCCUUCCAGUGUUGCGUUCGUCAGAAAACUUUACAUCCGCCAGGGUCUACGUCUUUAUCGUCGCGCGUCUGGAUUGGGCAGAAUAGUACGUCAUUAGGAUAAUUGCAUGCGUUUGAAAGUAAAACUUGUGCUUCUGGGUUGCAACAACUAUCGCCAAAGUUAGCUUUUGAAUUUUUAAUAACAUCGAAGAGAGCUUUUGAACUGUAGAAUACAGGUAACUGUGGAAUACAGGUAGUCGGGCCCCCAUCUCUUCUCGCAUGAUGGUAGAGCUUAUUGCUACUUUAGAUACCGUCAAACAUGUGAAUAAGUCCUCCGCUGCUUCUAGGGAGGUGAUGUCGGGUACUUCUUCAAGUCCUUGAAUGUGCAUUGGCGAGCCUCAUCCCAAAGUGCAUACUUCUCUGCCAAAGCAAAAGAGUCUGCCAGAGUUAGAUCUUCUUUCAUGAUUAAUUUUCCGAAUAACGGGUGGUCUGCUGGAAGUCCUUUUUGGAAGGCUGCUCUAGCUAUCGAGUCGUUGCAUCCGACUAUUUUUGCCUUCUCUACUUUGAACCUCCUCACAUAGUCGCGAAGUGACUCCUUUGGGUUCUUCUUGACGUUGAACAAAUGAUCAGAUUUCUUUUUGAUCGAGCGAUAGGAUGAAUAUUCUUUGGUGAAAACCAAAGAAAGUUCGUAGAAAUUCCGGAUGGAUUGUGGCGACAGGGUGUAGAACCAAUCUUGCGCCUCGCCUUGUAGAGUGGUGGCGAAUAUCUUGCACAUAAGCUCAUCGUUGUUUCGAUAAAGGAUCAUUGCGCUUCGGUAGCGCUUUAAGUGUCUCUCCGGGUCUUUAUCCCCUUUGAAAGAUGUGAAAUGUGGCAUGCUGAACUCUCGUGGAGGCUCUGCCUGCUCGAUCUCGUCCGUGAAGGGUGACCUGCUUAUGUUGGUCAUGUUCCAUCGUAGUGCCUCGUCCGUGACCUCGUUGCGUUGGAAAUCAUGCAAUCGCUUGGUCAAGAGUCUCUCUACUUCUUCCUGAAUUUGCCUUUGUUGGGGUAGCGGAGCUCUCGGCUGCCCCCAGCCAUGACUUGGUGGUCUAGACUGCUCUUCCAUGUGUUUGGCUCGUCUACGCCGCAGAUGCAGUGCAUGUGGUGCGUUCCUAGCAGGCUGCUGGUUGAACUUGAGCUGGAUUGAGUGACUGCCUCUUUCCGUCCGUCGUGCUGCCUACUCUGAUGUGAGGUGGAUGAUGCUCCUUGUGGGCUUAGCCGCGAAUGAACACUUUGUCCGGAAGGUUGCUCAUGUUGACUAUCGGAGUGUGACCCCAACCGUGAAUGUAUGCUCAUCCGUGGGCCUAGUCGAGAGUACACGCUCCUCCGCGCGCUAAGACGGGAGUAUACGCUAUCUCGGGGGCCCAAUCGGGAAUGUACACUGCCUGAACGUUCGGCUCGUGGCUGGUCGAAAGGCUGCUUGCUGCUGCUGGAAAGGUUCGUCUGCCCUUGUCCUACUUCGGGAUACCUUGUCCGGGGCACGUUGGAUCCGAUGCGUUGCAAAAGUUGAUUCACCAAAGUUGUCUGUUGUGCAAGGGCGCUCGUCAACUCUAUGACUUGUCGAGACAAGUGUUGUUCGCCAUUUGGAUUGGAAGAGCUUGGAAGGAAUGCGCCUCCUUGGGCAGUGGAAAUGUGGUAGACUCCGGGUGCGAGAUUUGAAUUGGGAAAUGUCAAAUCCGCGAAAAAAUAUGGUAAGAAUGCCCCCGGCUCGAUGGUAGGUCCGGAUGGUUGAGAUAGUCUUGGGUCGACUUGGGCUGCUUGGAAAGCCACUGGAGCAUGAUGAGCCUUGAGAGUGGGCUGCUCGUCGGGAGUAGGCUGGGUCACGAGAGCAGGCUGCUUGGCAGGAGCAGGUUGGGCCGUGAGAGUGGGCUGCUCGACGGAAGCAGGCUGAACCACGAGAGUGAGCUGCUCGUCGGGAGCAGGCUGGGUCACGAGAGCAGGCUGCUUGGCAGGAGCAGGCUGGACCACAGGAGUGGGCUGCUCGACGGAAGCAGGCUGGACCGCGGGAGUGGGUUGCUCGUCGGGAACAGGCUGGGUCACGAGAGCAGGCUGGGCCACGGGAGUGGGCUGCUUGGCAGGAGCAGGCUGGGCCACCGGAGUGGGCUGCUCGACGAAAGCAGGCUGGGCCACGGGAGUGGGCUGCUCGUCGGGAGCAGGCUGGGUCACGAGAGCAAGCUGCUCGGCAGGAGCAAGUUGGGCCGUGAGAGUGGGUUGCUUGACGGGAGCAGGCUGCUCAAUGCGCGGUGCAUAUGAAUGCGAGGCUUGGGCUUGGGUCCACGUAAACUCAGAUGGCACGGCUUGGAUCGUGGUCUUGGUACCGUGAGCCUUGGAUGGCACGGCUCGGGCCGUGGUGAAGGCUCCAUGGACCUCGCCACGAGUGGCUACCGAAGUAGCCACCGCGGUGGUUCCCAUGGUGGCCGUGGUGAAGGCACCAUGGACCUCGCCGCGGGUAGCUACCGAGGUAGCCACCACGGUGGUUCCCAUGGUAGAAGCUUGUGGUGAUGAUGCCGCUCCCCUUAUUGUCGCAUUUUGCCUCACGGAUCUCCGGGUCGUGGUGAAGGCUCCAUGGACCUCGCCACGAGUGGUUACCGAAGUAGCCACCGCGGUGGUUCCCAUGGCGGCCGUGGUGAAGACACCAUGGACCUCGCCGCGGGUGGCUAUCGAGGUAGCCACCACGGUGGUUCCCAUGGUGGAAGCUCGUGAUGAUGAUGCCACUCCCCUUAUUGUCGCAUUUAGCCUCACGGAUCUCCGCAAUCCCAUUUCUUGAACAUUAUAAUUUUCACUUGUGGAAUUUUCUAAAUUUCUAGCCAUUAUAUUUUGCUUAUACGUUUUAUCAAAGAACCUUUGCAAGUAAAAAAUUCUAAUAAUAAGAACGUAUGAAAAAUAUUCAAAUGGACUAGAAAAUAAAGAAAAAAAAACAUUUUUGUGUGAGAGUCUUCUACGAGUAUGGAUUUCAACUCUCAAUGAAAGCACCAAUUUGUGGAUGCAAAUUUCUUCCUCCUUGAUCUUGGACAAUUUUGCACCUACAAAACAAUUAAUACCUUAGGUUAAGGCCAAGAGCCUCACGCGCCCACGAUGAAUGGGGAGGCUUUGGCCGAAUAACCUCCGAUGCCAAAGUUAGAAUUUAGAGAGAAAGAGUGUUUAGAGAAUUUUGGGAUUUUUGCCAAAGUGUUGGAAUUGAUUUUUUGGUGAGAAUAGGUGCCUAUUUAUAGAGUUAGGAGGUGGCUAGGGUUUUUAGGUUUAAUUUAGGUUUAAUUAGCCAAUUUAUUAUGAUUAAUUGACUAAUUUAAACAUAAAGGAAUGUUUUGAUGGUUAUGGGUUUAAUUGGCUAGUUGAAUAAGGAAAAAAUGAGGUAAAAACAUAUAUGAAAUAGGUUUUGAAUUGUUACCCAUUUUGGGUACUUCUGACUUGGUUGAUGGAUGAUUCUCCACUGCUCGCGUGUAGGAGACCCGGUAUGCCUCGAGGGUAUUUUUAUCCUUUUUGUUCAAAAAACCCACGUGUCGCCUUGUGAAUAUUUUUUGCUCCACAGUGGUUUUGGGCGGACACGUUGUGCCCAAAAACGGGACCGUUAAUUUCAUGGUGGCGGAUAUAGGGUGGGACCCGCAAGUGUAGGAAGAUCCCAUGGCGUUCAAGCCGGAGAGGUUCUUGGGCAGCGGCGGAUGAGAAGAAGGGUUCGAUUUGACGGGGAGCAGGGAGAUUAAGAUGAUGCCGUUUGGGGCAGGGAGGAGGAUCUGUCCUGCAUCGGGAUUGGCGGUGCUUCACCUGGAGUACUUUGUGGCGAAUUUGGUUUGGAAGUUUCAGUGGAGGGCUGUGGAGGGAGAUGACGUUGACCUGUCAGAGAAGACGGAGUUUACUGUGGUGAUGAAGAAUCCAUUGCAAGCCCACGUAAUCCCUAGAAUUUAAUACGUGGGAGAAUUCUGUACUAAUUUUUCGAUGUACGUUCAACCGCUAAAUCCAUCAAUGUAUAUGCUCUUCAUUGAUUAUGCAAUUUCGAAAAUUUGGAAUUUUAGUUUACUAGUGUGAUUCAAGACAGAUUUUAUAAUUUUAAUAUUUAGUGAGUGAUUUGAGUGAGCUGUAUUUGCUAUCUUCAUGUAAUUGUAAACACGCAUCGGAGAUUACGAAGUAGCUUGGGUUGAUUUUGAGGCAGGAAAGACAGAAAAUGAAAUGCUAUCUUUACAACCCCUCUCAACCCUGCCUUCACCGCAUGAAUCUAUCCUUAUUGGUGACUUAAAAAGGGCUAAUUUCAAGCAAUUUCUUUCCGACAAGGGUGUUCAGUUACCAUUUCCGUUCAUUGCUUAAUUUGUUAGAUUAUGUUUCAUCACCAAAAUUCGAUAUGUGAAAUAAUCUCACGUUCUCAACUUCUAGAUAAGGUUAAAUCUCUAUGGAACUACCAUAUAUACAACGAUUUUGAUCUGAUUUCCUUGACAUGUUGAAUUUGCUGGUGGGGCGCUGAGAUGCGGUGAAUAUGUGACAUUACGCAAAGUUGGAGAUGCAAGCCAUAAGGUUGGUCAUAUACAUAUAUGCUAAUAGUAUUUGCACCCAAAUUUUUAGCACAACAGUUGCAUAGCUAGAGUUCUGGUUUGCGGAUGGAAAGUCUAACUAGCGUAUAUAUAAUUUGAUCUUUUGUAGGGUGGUGGUUCUGGCACCCAACAAAUUGUGAUCGCAAGCCCUUAUGUCAGGAUUAUUACAAGAUUCAGGAGUAUCUCUACUCACAAUUUUGUUUGUUUUAAGACUAUCUUCAACCCUUGGGGACAAGACAAAGCUUAAAAAUUUAAGCCAGAAAAUUUGAAGUCAUAAGCCAUAAACUAUUUUUCUCUUUCAACACUUAUGGCUUAAAAUUUUAGCCCGUGAUGAUCAAAUAAUGAUAUUAGCCUAAUUUUUUGUUUUCUGUAACUUCUUUUGAAAAUAAAAUUUAUGUAGAUUAUCUUAAUUUAUUUUUAUGAACAUUUUAGUCUAAAAAUAUUUAAAUUCUCAAAUACAUAUGUAUUUAUAAAGUUCUAAGUUAAAUUUGAUUUAAAUAAUUUUCUUAAAUUAUUUUAGACGUUGGUUUAAUUUUGGGCCGUCAAAUCUUUUUUUUACUAUUAGAUUUGAUCUCAUUUGAUCGUAGCCGUUAGAUUAUAAGUAAACAACAAAAAAAUAAUUGAAAUAUAACAGUUUGGUGGAUCCAGAAUAAUUUAAACCAGGCUUAAAUCCUGGAAGUAAUCUAGCUUAGAGAUAUAUUUUCUCUCCAGGGUUUAUUUUAGCCCAUGAUUGGAGAUGAUUUGGGAGAAGUUUUAAAACUUAUGUUUUAAGCUUUAUUUUAUGAAUUGGUGAUGGUCUAAGUGAAGAGACAUAAUAUCAAACGGGUGAACUAACAUUUAAUCACGAUGUUAACUUCCAGUGAUUCCACGAAACACACUAAAGUUAUUUCAACGUAGACUUAUUUUUCUUCGAAGUUGCAAUGGUAAGACAUUUUAAGUGAAAGUGACAAUAUGUGCAGCUGAGUCAAAGCCGUGGAAACCUGAUUUCUUAUAGGACAAGGAUUGUCUGCCCUCCUAGUUGUGGUGCCCUUUCAUGCACUCUUAUUUUGUGCGGUCAUGAUUAAGCCAUGUCAAUAUUUUAUAUUUUUAUUGUUUUUUAUCUUAUUAUCUCAUUAAAAAUUAAUAUAAAAUAUUAAUAUGACUUAAGCGUGACCGCACAAAAUAAGAGAGAAUGGAAGGGCACCACAAUUAGGAGGGCAGACUGUCCUUUCUUAUAAAGUAUGGAAACUAACAAGAACUAACAAUUAAUGAGCAAACGCAGUCGCCCUCUGUCUGAUUGCUUACGAUUCACCAUGGAAACCUGGUUCCUUAUCCUCAUCGCCCUCUGCGUCUCCUUCCUCCUCAGACCCCUUCUCUCUCUAUUCCUACCCACUUCCAUCUCCAGAUCCAAUCUCCCUCCCGGGCCUCGCUUCUUCCACAUCAUCGAAGGCUUCUUAUUCCUCCUCAAAUCUACCUCGGAGCUCGAGCCUAUAAUCCGCAAACUCCAGGCCGAAUACGGGCCCAUCAUCUCCCUCCCCAUCGGCUCCCGCUCUACCGUCUUCGUCGCCGACCGCUCCCCCGCCCACCAGGCCUUAAUCCUGAACGGCGCCGUGUUCGCCGACCGCCCCCAGGCCUUGGCCACCAACAAGUGCGCCAGCAGCAACCAGCACACCAUCGCCUCCGCCGUCUACGGCCCCACGUGGCGUCUCCUCCGCCGCAAUAUCACCUCCGAAAUCCUCCACCCUUCCCGCGUUAAAUCCUACGGCAGCGCCCGCAAAUGGGUUCUCGACAUCCUCGUCAACCGCCUCAAAACCGAGUAUCAAUCCCACUCCGAAGCCGCCGCCGCCGGGGUCAGGGUGGUCGACCACUUCCAAUACGCCAUGUUCUGCCUCCUGGUUCUGAUGUGCUUCGGCGACAAAUUGAACGAAGAGCAAAUCAAAGAAAUCGAGCACGUGCAGCGCCAACUACUUUUGAGUUCCGGGCGGUUCAAUAUCCUCAAUUUCAAGCCGAAAUUGACGAAGAUUAUCUUCAAAAAUCGGUGGCGGCAAUUCUUCAAAAUCCUCGAGGAACGACGAGAAGUGCUCGUCCCUCUGAUUCGAGCACGACAAAACAGGGCAAAGCAGGGCAGCAAAACCGACGACAAGGAUGAUGAAUUUGUGUUGUCGUAUACAGAUACGCUGCUGGACCUCGAGCUUCCCGACGGCAACGAAAAGCGGAAGCUUUCGGAGGGAGAAAUGGUUAGCCUCUGCUCAGAGUUUCUGACCGCCGGCACCGACACGACUUCCACCGCGCUGCAGUGGAUCAUGGCCAACGUAGUGAAGUACCCGCAAGUUCAGGAUAAGCUGUUUGCGGAGAUUAAAGGGGUGAUGGGAGAAACGGAGGACGAGGUGCCGGAGGAGGUCCUGCACAAGCUGCCGUAUCUGAAAGCCGUGAUCUUGGAGGGGCUGAGGCGCCAUCCACCGGCGCACUUUGUGCCGCGCGCGGUGACGCAUGACGUGGUUUUGGGCGGAUACGUGGUGCCCAAGAACGGGAGUGUUAGUUUCAUGGUGGCGGAUAUAGGGUGGGACCCGCAAGUGUGGGAGGAUCCCAUGGCUUUCAAGCCGGAGAGGUUCUUGGGCAGCGGCGGAGAAGAAGGGUUCGAUUUGAGGGGGAGCAGGGAGAUUAAGAUGAUGCCGUUUGGGGCAGGGAGGAGGAUCUGUCCAGGGUCGGGAUUGGCGGUGCUUCACCUGGAGUACUUUGUGGCGAAUUUGGUGUGGAAAUUUGAGUGGAGAACUGUGGAGGGAGAUGACGUGGACCUGUCAGAGAAGCAGGAGUUUACUAUAGUGAUGAAGAAUCCAUUGCAUGCCCACGUAAUCCCUAGAAUUUAAUACGUGUGAGAAUUCUGUACUAAUUAUUCGGUGCAUAUUCAACCGUUGAAUCUAUCCAUGUAUGCUUUUCAUUGAUUAUGUAAUUUUGAAAAUUUAGAUUUUUAGUUUACUAGUCUGAUUCAAGACGGAUUUUAUAACUUCAAUAUUUAGAGAGUGAUUUGUGUGAGAUGUAUUUGCUACUUUUUAGCUUAUAACUAAUACAACUUUCAAAUCUUGGGAAGACAACUUCUGUAUUAGAGACUGCCCAAGAGCAAGGAGCAUUUGAGCAUUUGAGAAUUUGAUGGGAUUGCCUACAUAGGUACAACUCUCCUUUAAUCUUUGUGUUACAGCUUGUCUAAUGACUAAUUCGAAAUCCAAGUUACUGUAGUCUAAACAAAUUCGGUGGAGUAGUGUUUUUGUUUUUACCUUUGCAUAUAUGGAAAUGAAAGAAUAAAUAACUCUUUGAAGACAACUUCUUUCCGACAAAGGUGUUGAGGUACCAUUUCCAUUCAUUGCUUAAUUUGUUAGACUAUGCUUCAUCCCCAAAAUUCAUCAUCUGAAGUAAUCUCAAGUUUUCAACUUCAUGUUUUGAGCCCCAGAGAAAAGGUUAAGCUCUAUGGAACUACUAUAUUUACAGCGAUCUCGAUCUGAUAUGCUAAUAGUAUUAGCACCCAAGUUUUUGUUACAACAGUUGCAUUUUUGCAGAUGGAAAAUAUGACUAGUGUAUUUAUAUUUUUUAUCUUUUUUGUAGGGUGGUGGUUCCGGCACCCAACAAAUUGUGAUCGAAGGCCCCUUAUGCGAGGAUUAUUACAAGAUCUGGGAGUAUCUCUACUCACAAUUUUAUUUGCUUUAAGUAGAGAUACAUAAUGUUAAAUGCCUUCGGAUGAACUGUCAUUUAGUCGUGAUGUUAAUUUCUAGUGAUUUCAUGAAACACCCUAAAGUUUAAUUUAAAUGUAUGACUUAUUUUCCGUUGAAGUUGUGAAUUCUAUUCAUGCAUGAUGGAUCUUCGACACAAAUUGGCAGUUCAAGUAAAUCAUAUUCAAGGAAACAAAUCAUGUUUGAUGAGUUAGAGACGAACGUGUUAACUUCAAAUAGUACCAAGACAUUACAUACAUGCUAAAACUAAACAUCACAAACGAAUCACAGUUAAGCAGUUUAACCUUUUUACGUGACAAAAUAUAGUUGAGUCGGAAUAAUGAGGCAAACAUGACAAGUAAAUUGCCAUGCAUUUUAGCUUUUCAUCGAUACAAUGUUGUGUGAUUGGUUUGCGAUAUUUUGCUCCACCCAAGAGUUGGUCUCCAGGUCAACGUCAACGUUCGUCAGCAAAGGAGCUUUAUCCAUCUAUUUAUAAAAUAUGGAAAAUAACAAUUUAUUAAGCAAACUCAUUUGCCCUUUGUCUGAUUGCCAACGGUUGACCAUGGAAACCUGGUUUGGAAGUUUCAGUGGAGGGCUGUGGAGGGAGAUGACGUUGAUCUGUCAGAGAAGAUGGAGUUUACUGUGGUGAUGAAGAAUCCAUUGCAAUCGUGCAUAAUUCCUAGAACUUAAUAAGUUAGUGAAUUCUGUACUAAUUCUUCGGUGCACCGUUAAAUCCAUCCAUGUAUGCUCUUCAUUGAUUAUGUAAUUUCGAAAAUUUGGAUUUUUAGUUUACUAGUGUGAUUCAAGACCCUUAAUAAAAGGUUUAGUAUUUGAAUCUAACAGAGGACAUGACAUAUAACCAAGCGCAAUGACGUUUUAUGAUUCAUAUAGCCAACCCUACUUAGUGGAAAAAGACUUUGUUGUUGUUGUUGUUGUAGUGUGAUUCAAGACAGAUUUUAUAACUUCAAUAUUUAGUGAGUGAUUUGAGUGAGCUGUAUUUGCUAUCUUGAUGUAAUUGUAAACACGUAUCGGAGAUUAUGAAGUAGCUUGGGUUGAUUCUGAGGCAGGAAAGACAGAAAAUGAAAUGCUAUAUUUACAACCCCUCUUAACCCCGCCUCCACCGCAUGAAUCUGUCCUUGUUGGUGACUUAAAAAUGGCUACUUUCAAGCAAUUUCUUUCCGACAAGGGUGCUUAGAUACCAUUUCCGUUCAUUGCUUAAUUUGUUGGACUAUGUUUCAUCACCAAAAUUCGUUAUAUGAAAUAAUCUUUCUCAACUUCAUGUUUUGUAGCCCAUAGAUAAGGUUAAAUCUCUAUGGAACUACCAUAUAUACAACUAGGGGUGGGCACGGGCCGGGCCGGGCCCAAUUUUGAAGGGACUGGACCGGACCUGGGUUCAAAGAAAACGGGUCAAAGAUUACAUUUUUUAAUAUAGGAACCAGACCUUACCCGGCCCGGUUGAAAUGGGCCAGUUCAGGCUAGGUCCACGGGUCCCUUUUUUUUUUUUGGUUUGAAAAAAAAUAAUAAAAUUUGCACUGAUUGCAAACUGCACUGAUUGCAACUGCACAGAGUCACAGACUGCAUUUAUGCAAAUUUUGCACAAAUUCACCAUUAUUCACAUCCAAUCAAAAAUUCUAAAUACAAAGUCCAACAUUCAAGUUCAUAGAUUAACAAUACAUCCAAAAUAACAAUAUUACAUCGUCCAACAUCUAAAAAUCAAAUCAACAUACAAAUAUCCGAAAGUCCAAGGCAUCCACAAUAAAUUCCAAAUUAACAUCCAAAACCACAUCCAACGUCCAAGUUCUAACAACAAUCCUCAUUGAAUCUGUAAGCAAAAAUAGAAUAUAAACAUGACAUUUUUAACGUCUAAUAUCACAUUAUCCUCAUUGAAUCAUUGAAAUUUAAAGUUUAUUCAUUUGAGUUUAAAAUAUUACCGCAAUUCCUUUUCCUUUAUUCGUUCGAGUUGUUUGAGGAGCUUCAAUUUCAGGAACACUUGGUAAGAUGGUUGAGCUUGUAGAUAUAGUAUUUGCUCUUCUUCUUUUAUAUUCUACAACAAAGAACAAACGUUAAUUGUAAACCAAUUAAUAUAAAGUAUAAAUCAAGCUAUGCAAAACAAAAUAAUUACCUUAUUCACACUCUUGAUAAAAUUCAAGCUCAGCCGAACUUGCUUCAUACUCAAUGUUGCUAAUUGGUUCACAUCUUAACCAAUUUUGGAGGCAUAUCAAUGACUCCAAUGUUUGAGGAAGGAGAGAUGAUCUAAAAGGGUCAAUUACUCACUUUCCUCCACUAAAUGCACUUUCACUGGCAACUAUGGACACUUGAAUUGGCAAGACAUUUUUCGCUAUCAAAGCAAGUGUGGGAUAUGUGCUCCUCCCUUUCAACUUCCACCAUUUCAAAACGUCAAAUUGUGAACCAUAUGGUACUUUCUCUACAAUGUCAAGGAGAUACUUAUCCACCUCAUGUGCAAGCGCAAUAUCUUCGGUGUCUUCUAGUUCAUUCUCCCAAUCAUUUACGAUUUGACUAAAUAUCAUUAGAUUUUCUGUUGGCACACUAGAAGAUGAUUGUUUUACCCUUGAACAAGUAGUGUCAACAAGUAAAUCUUCUCUACCCUUUUGUUGUGUUAUGAACCGAAAGCUUGGUAAGCAUAUUCAUCACACAUUGCCUUCAACAAUGUCUUCACUUCAUUACUUUUCUGUUGAAUCUCUUUUUCAGGAAGCUAUAAUUGCUUUCCACACAAGUGCAUGUAGUGCCUCAAUUUGAACCUUAGGUCUAAGAUAAGGGCAACUACAAAUAUUUGAUUAAGGGAGUCAAUUGAACAAAAAUAUUUUCAAUAUUUGGCUCUCCUGCUAAAUGUCAUAUCACGUAGCACCAACUAUAUACUUUCUCCAGUUUGCAUAUAUUCAGGCAAAAAAAACUUUUCAAUCUCAUUUUCCACAACAUUGACAUCAUGAACAGCUGUAUUAGAUGUGGGAUAUUUACUUGCACUAACUUUCAAAGUUAUAAGAUAGAAGACCUUCAAAAAUUCCACAAACACUUCUACACCAUCCCAAUCUUCCUCUUUAGGUGGUCCAACCCUCCCUUUACUCGCCACUUCUUCUCCUUCAUCAUUAAGCACCUUUUCCCUAAAAUAGGCGGAGUAUAUAUUGGCUUCAUCAUCUUCGGACAUCCUUUCAAAUGCUUUUUUAAACUUUAAGCAAUAUUCUAGCAUCAUGUAUGUGCUAUUCCAUCUAGUAGGCACAUCCAUAACAACUAGACCCAUACUAUCCAACUUCUCAUUCUCCACAUAUUUCUUGAAAUAACUAAACCUUUGGGGACUUGAUCUCACAAACCGCACAACAUUUCUAAGAACAUCCACACUUGUAUCUAAUCUUUUCAACCAAGUUGAUAAUAUGAGCUAAGCACCUCACAUGCAUAAACUUGCCAUUCAUAAUAAUUUUACUAUUAUGCCAUUUCUGCAUUUUACGAACAAUAUACUCAAUUGCCACCUUAUUAGCCGAUGCAUUGUCAACUGAAAUACACAUUACCUUUUCAAUCUCCCACUCAACCAAACAUUGCUCAAUCAUCUUCCCUAUUUCUUUGCCUUCAUGACUUGAAAUCAAACAAAAUUUUAGAAUCAUUUUGUGCAUAUUCCAUUCAUCAUCUACAAAAUGAGCAGUUAGCACCAUGUAGUUCAAAUUUUACACACUUGUCCAUGUAUCAGUAGUCAAGCUCACUCUAUGAUUGUGUAUCUCCCUUUUUAAAUAAUCUUUCAUGGUAUCAUACAUAUUGAAUAACUCCCUCACGAUGGUUCUCCGAGAUGGAACAUGCAAUCUAAGCUGGACUUUGCACAUCAUCCGCCUAAACCCUUCACUCUCCACAACACUAAAAUGUACCUCCUCGAUCACAAUAUACUCAAUAAUACCUUCCACACUUUCUUCUUGGCUCCACCCUUUAGCAACAAGCAUGUUUUUGACAUCCCCCAAAAGGUUCAGAACUGCCUAGAACCUUUUGCAACUCAUUAGUUGGUUUAAAUAACUUGCAAUGUUUAUUGAUAUGUUCAAUGUAAGUACUAGUUCCACCCCCACUAGUAUCACAUGCAAAAAGGGUGUUACAAUAGUUACACUUAGCCUUCAAUACUUGUACCUCCACCAUAUCUUUCUUUCCAUCCUUUUCUACUUCUUGUAUUUCCGAGACGGUACACUUAGUGACAUGAUCCCAAACCCAAGAUCUCUCAGAAGAAGAUCUCUCUAGUGAAGCUAUUAUAGUUGGUUGUUUUGUCUUUAGAAUAUGUGGUGCUUUUCUUUUUCUGGAGGAUGAGGGGUUUGGGGGAGGCAUUGAUGAUUUUGCCUAUGUGGGUUGUGCUUGUGGAAGACAUGGUGAUGUAGCCGUAGAUGAUGCUACAUUAGUAGUAAGGGUACUUUGACUUUGAGAUUGAGACAUUAUGUAAAAAUCUGUAAAAAUUAAAUAAUGGAAGUAUAUUCAUUAAUCAAAUAAAGCUAUUUCGAAAUAUGUACACCAAUUUCAUGAAAUUACCACAAAAUACUAAUCAUCUCAAGAAACCAUUAAAACUUCAGAGUUCAGAUCACGAAUAAAACCAACUACUAAAUCCAUCCCCAUUAAGAGAAAGAAACUAAAUGAAACCAAAUGAAAACAAGAGAAAGACGUGCUCAAUGAAAACAAAGAGAAACCAAAUGAAAGACGUGCUAAAUAAAUCCAUCCCCAUUAAUACUCGAUAUGAAACCAAAUGAAAAUAGGAGAAAGAAACUAUAUGCUAAAAAGAGGAAGAGAGCAAUUUUGAAUCAUGCUAAAUUUGACUUACAUUAGCAAUAUUUUAAAGAAGGGGUGUGAUAUCCACACACCAUUUUUUACUUCUCUCACACCUUUUUGCUUUUUGGCCGUCGGAUCGGAUGAAUUAAAGAAGAUCAACGGACAGAAAUUAACAAGGGUGUGUGAGAAGUAAAAAUGGGUGUGUGAAUAGCACACCCCUUUAAAGAAAAACUAGUUUAAAAAAAAAGUGCAGAUAUAUUAACUAUUAAGUACUUACAUUUGUUGGGUUCCAAAGAAAAGACUAGUGCUUUCUUCCAAUCAAAAGAGUAGCCCCACUUCUCUGGUUCACUUACCUGCAGAAUGAUUAGGAAUAAUUAGGAAUAAGGAGAGAAUCAAACUAUAAGUUCACACACAUUCCCAUAUACUACAGAAACCAAAAUCAUACUAAAUUUGUUUGAGAAGACAUAAACCAAAUCAGAGGCUGUUAUGCUUCUAAAAGAACAUAUGAGCACUCCUAAUGCAAAACAACAUCAAAUGGUCCUUGAUCUGAAAGUGGCUUGUUGACAUCAAUUGUAAUGAAGAAGAUUCCUUUAUUCUUGCAAUGAAGAACAUCCCCUUACAACAAUCUGUAUUAGAGAACCUGUUUAAUGUGCUAAACCUAAAGACAAUAAGAGCACAGCCCCCAAUUACUCAGAAAUUACAAGGAAACAAGGUUGACAUCAGAGGCAACAAAGAAGUAAGCCUACAAGACUAAAAGGAAACAAACAGCCUAGCCUGCAAAGAUUCAGAGAAGUCUGGACACAAAGCCAGGAAUAAUUAGCACUUUAACCCUGCAGAUUAUGAUUGACGAGUGACAACCCAUCUUUGUUUACUUUUACUUUUGUUUGUUGGAUUAGCUAGCACUUUAACAUUCAACAGAAACUAGUAUGUAAAACUUUAAUGUGUUGUUCAUCUGCUACACAUUAGGUUAAUUAAUUUGUGUGUGGGUGUAUGAGUGUCACCCUUCAAAUUCAUGCAGUAAUUGCCAUGGCACUAGUGCCACUGCAGCUAGGCCUUGUCCUCCACCUCCAAUAUAUAUUGAAUUAAUUGCACUUUCAUCCAAGUACCCAUACAUCACUCCAUACAAAAUAAAAACAAAGACUUGUCACAAUAUCACUAAUGCCGGCUUGGUUCUUAAUGUUAUGUUGUAUUUUUAAAUCCAUUUGUAAUUAUAUCGGUCCGUGAAACAAUAAUAUAAAUUGACCAAAUUAAAAUACAGACCAUUGCCAAUGUAUUAUGAAUUAAUUGCGCUUUCAUCAUCCAACAACUCAUACAUUAUUCAAUGAAUAAAAUAAAUAUAUUAAUAAAGAGGAUAAGAUUGAAUAAUAAUAAACAACACUACGAACACGUAUGAUUGAAAGUUGUACUUUUAAACACAUUUGCAAUUUCAUCGGUAGUAUAUAGAAAGAGGGGAAACUUAGUGAACUUAAAACAUGUUUGAAUACUAAGUGAACUAAAGCAGAACAAAUCCCUAAAAAUUGCUUAAGUUCAAAUGGGUUUUCUAUCCGAAAAUCAAAUCUAAUUUCCAAAACAGAUCAAUAUAAGAACAUCUAAAAUUGAAUUGUAUCAUCAUCAACCAAAUCUACACCGGCCAUUGGUGAAACCAAACUCAUACAAUCACCAAAUCACGAACUUUUUGAGAUGCAAUCGAAACACAAAUUGACAACUGUGAACGAUAAGAACUAAGAAGAACUUGACUACAUUGAAUCUGAGAUGACAACUGAGAUUGGAACAUUAGAAAAAACAAACUAAAACUCACCAGAGACAUGGCUGUUCCAGAAAAACGUUUUGCUUAGACUUAGAUCUGAAAUAUGCAAAGCCAAAAAAAACCCAAACUUUGUUAUCAGUGAUUCAGUAUUACAGUGGAAAAAAAAAUGGUAGAUGCAAAAAGAAGAACCCUAAAUGGUGGCAACAGAUCAAUCAUCAAUCUACAAAUGCAAUUCAAAUAUAAAUGACACUGAAUUACAUGGAUUAAACAAGAAUUACAAUCCUACAAAUAAAUGACACUAAAUUUGCCAUGAAAAGUGAAGCUCCACAAUAGGUAAUAACCCAUGGAAAAUCAAAAGAGCAUGUUUGACAGAGAUGCAACUGAAAAUCUAAAACCCAAAUCACUUCCACAGAACCUGAGACCAUGCUUGCAUGCAUCAAUCAAAUCCAAAUGACACGUGGGAAGAUAGUCGACAUUGCCUCGCAUCUACGAGACCCAAAACACAACUUCCCUUCUCCCAUUUGUUCACAAGUGCUCAUAUGGUUUCUAUUCUAUUUUGCGCAAGUAAUAACCCAAAAUUUGUUAUAAGUGAUUCAGUAUUACAGUGGAAAACAAUUGGUAUAUGCGAAGAGAAAAACCCUAAAUGGUGGCAACACAUCAAUCAUCAAUCUACAAAUGCAAUUCAAAUUUUAAGAAAACCCUAAAUGGUGGCAACAGGAUUCAAUCAUCAAUCUACAAAUUCUAACUUAAAACCCCUAAAAUCCCUACACCAGAUAUUCACAAUUUCACAUUAAUAAUAAAACCUAAUUCAAAAUUACCUAAAUUUUAAAGGGAUGAUGGUUGGUAGUGGUACUGGACCACUGGUGGUAGCAGUGUUCGUCGACGGUGGUGAUGGGGUGAUGGUGGUCGCGACGGCGGAUGUGGUACCAUUGUGUUGGUAGCGACGACGCUGUGAGAGUGUGAGAGUUGAAGCUCGAUAGUGGUGAUGGGGUGAUGGGGUGAUGGUGGUUGUGACGGCGGAAGUGGUGCUGUUGUGUUGGUCCCGACGACGUUAAGCAAUGUAAGUGAGAGUCUGAGAGUUGGAGUCGAGGGAAGGGACAGGGAAUGAGUCGAGUCGAGGGAGGGAGAUAUUCUGAGAGACUGAGGGUGAUUCUAGAACUCGGGAGGUGGAAUUGGCUAAAGUAGCCCCGCUUCUCUGGUUCACUUACAUGCAUAAUGAUUAGGAAUAAUUAGGAAUAAGGAGAGAAACAAACUAUAAGUUUACACACAUUCCCGUAUACUACAUAAACCAAAGCCAUGCUAAAUUUGUCGGAGAAGACAGAAACCAAAUCAAAGGUUGUUAUGCUUCUAAAAGAACAUAUGAGCACUCACCUUAUGCAAAACAACAUCAAAUGGUCCUUGAUCUGAAUGUGGCUUGUUUACAUCAAUUGCAAUGAAGAAGAUCCCCUUAUUCCUGCAAUAAAGAAGAUCCCCUUCUAACAAUCUGUAUUAGCAAACCUGUUUAAUGUGCUAAACCUAAAGACAACAAGAGCAGAGCCCCCAAUUAUUGAGAAAUUGCAAGGAAACAAGGUCGACAGUAAAGGCAACAAAGCAGUAAGCCUACAAGACUAAAAGGAAACAAACAGCCUAGCCUGCAAAAAUUCAGAUAAGUCUGGACGCAGAGCCAAGAAUAAUUAGCACUUUAACUUUUGUUUGUGGGAUUAGCUAGCACUUUAACAUUCAACACAAACUAGUAUGAAAAACUUUAAUGUGCAGUUCAUCUGCUACACAUUAAGUUAAUUAAUCUGUGUGUGGGUGUGUGAGUGUCACCCUUCAAAUUCAUGCAGUAUGAGGGGGAAUUCCCACGGCAUUAGUGCCACUGCAGCUAGGCCUUGUCCUCCACCUCCAAUAUAUAUUGAAUUAAUUCCACCUUCAUCCAAGUACCCAUACACCACUCCAUACAAAAUAAAAACAAAGACUUGUCACAAUAUCACUAAUGCCGGCUUGGUUCUUAACGUUAUGUUGUAUUUUUAAAUCCAUUUGUAAUUAUAUCCGUCCGUGAAACAAUAAUAUAAAUUGAUCAAAUUAAAAUACAGACCAUUGCCAAUAUAUUAUGAAUUAAUUGCGCUUUCAUCAUCCAACAACUCAUACAUUAUUCCAUAAAUAAAAUAAAUAUAUUAAUAAAGAGGAGAAGAUGGAAUAAUAAUAAACAACACAACAAACACGUAUGAUUGAAAGUUGUACUUUUUAAACACAUUUACCAUUUCAUCGGUAGUAUAUAGAAAGAGGGGAAACUUAGUGAACUUAAAACAUGUUUGAAUACUAAGUGAACUAAAGCAUAACAAAUCCCUAAAAAUUGCUUAAUUUCAAAUGGGUUUUCUAUCCGAAUCAAAUCUAAUUUCCAAAACAGAUCAAUAUAAGAACAUCUAAAAUUGAAUUGUAUCAUCAUCAACCACAUCUACACCGGCCAUUGGUGAAACCAAACGCUUACAAUCACCGAAUUACGAACUUUUUGAGAUGCAAUAGAAACACAAAUUGACAACUGUGAAUGAUAAGAACUAAGAAGAACUGGACUACAUUGAAUCAGAGACGACAACUGAGAUUGGUACAUUAGAAGAAACAAACUAAAACUCACCAGAGACAUGGUUGUUCCAGAAAAACGUUUCGCUUAGACUUAAAUCUGAAAUACGCAAAGCCAAAAAAAAACCCAAACUUUGUUAUCAGUGAUUCAGUAUUACAGUGGAAAAAAAUUGGUAGAUGCGAAGAGAAUAACCCUAAAUGGUGCAACAGAUCAAUCAUCAAUCUACAAAUGCAAUUCAAAUAUAAAUGACACUGAAUUACAUGGAUUAAACAAGAAUUACAAUUUUACAAAUAUAAAUGACACUGAAUAUGCCAUGAAAAGUUAGGCUCCACAACAGGUAAUAACCCAUGGAAAUUCAAAACAAGCAUGUUCGACAAAGAUGCAACUGAAAAUCUAAAACCCGAAUCACUUCCACAGAACCUGAGACCAUGCUUGCGCGCAUCAAUCAAAUCCAAAUGACACGUGGGAAGAUAGUCGACAUUGCCUCGCAUCUACUAGACCCAAAACACAACUUCCCUUAUCCUCUUUGUUCACGAGUGCUCAUACGGUUUCUAUUCUAUUUUGCGCAGGUAAUAACCUAAAAUUUGUUAUCAGUGAUUCAGUAUUACAAUGGAAAAAAAUUGGUAGAUGCGAAGAGAAGAACCCUAAAUGGUGGCAACACAUCAAUCAUCAAUCUACAAAUGCAAUUCAAAUUUUAAGAAAACCCUAAAUGGUGGCAACAGGAUUCAAUCAUCAAUCUACAAAUUCUAACUUAAAACCCCUAAAAUCCCUACACCAGAUAUUCACAAAUUCACAUUAAUAAUAAAACCUAAUUCAAAAUUACCUAAAUUUUAGAGGGAUGAUGGUUGGUAGUGGUACUGGACCACUGGUGGUAGCAGUGUUCCUCGACGGUGGUGAUAGGGUGAUGGUGGUUGCAACGACGGAGGUGAUGCCAUUGUGUUGGUAGCGACGGCGCUGUGAGAGUCUAAGAGUUGGAGCUCGAUGGUGGCUACGACGGCGGAGGUGGUGCUGUUGUAUUGGUCCUGACGGCAUUAAACACUGUGAGUGAGAGUCUGAGAGUUGGAGUCGAGGGAAGGGACAUGGAGGGAGUCGAGUCGAGGGAAUGAGAGAUUCUGAGAGACUGAGGGUGAUUCUGGAACUCGGGAGGUGGAAUUGGCUAGGGUUGAAACUAACUGUUGAGAUUGGAUGGAGAUAUGAUAUUUUAAAUCUCGUCUGUCCAUUGUAAUUACAAACAGGCCGGUCCGGGUUCUCGCAUUUCUUAUACUUUUAGAACUGGCCCAAACUGAAAACUUCAAAGGCCAGGCCCGGCCCGCCUCGUAUCGUUCUGUUUUUACAAAAUUAGGAACUGGUCCGUACCCGCCCCGACCAGCAAUUCCUGUACCCAUUUGCCCACCCCUUUAUACAACGAUCUUGAUCUGAUUUCUUUGACAUGUUGAAUUUGCUGGUGGGGCGUUGAGAUGCGGUGAAUAUGUGACAUUACGCAAAGCUGGAGAUGCAAGCCAUAAGGUUGGUCAUAUACAGAUAUGCUAAUAGUACUAGCACCUAAAUUUUGGGCACAAUAGUUCCAUAGCAAGAGUUAUGGUUUGCGAAUGGAAAGUCUGACAAGCGUAUGUAUAAUUUGAUCUUUUGUAGGGUGGGGGUUCCGGCACCCAACGAAUUGUGAUCAAAGACCCCUUAUGUGAGGAUUGUUACAAGAUUCGGGAGUAUCUCUACUCACAAUUUUAUUUGCUUUAAGAUCAUCUCCAAUCCUUGGGGAUAAAGCUUAAAAUUUUAAGCCAUAAGUCAGAAUCUGAUUUUCCUUUACAACCCUUAUGGCUUAAAAUUUUAGAUGAUCAAAUAAUGAUUUUAGCCUAACUUUUUGUUUUUGGUAACUUUUUUUGAAAAUAAAAUUUAUGUAGAUUAUCUUAAUUUAUUUUUAUGAACAUUUUAGUCUAAAAAUAUUUAAAUUCUGAUAAGUAAUUAAAAAUCAUACAAAUACAUAGGUGUUUAUAAAGUUUUAAGUUAAAUUUGAUUUAAAUAAUUUUCUUAAUUUUGGGCCGUCAAAUCUUUUUUUUUACUAUUAGAUUUGAUCUCAUUUCAUCGUAGCAGUUAGAUUAUAAGUAAAAAAACAAAAAAAAGUUUGAAAUAUAACAAUUUGGUGGGUUCAAAAUAAUUUAAGCCAGGCUUAAAUCCCGGGAGGAAUUUAGCUUAGAGAUAUAUUUUCUCUCCCGGACUUAUUUUAACCCAUGAUUGGAAAUGGUUUGGGAGGGUUUUUAAAACUUAUAUUUUAAGCUUUAUUUCAUGAGUUGGUGAUGGUCUAAGGGGAGAGACAUAAUAUCUAACGCUUUCGGAUGAACUAACAUUUAAUCGCGAUAUUAACUUCUAGUGAUUCGAGGAAACACACUAAAGUUUAAUUUCAAUGCAGGCCUUAUUUUUGGACCCGGUUUCUCUGCCCUCCCAAUUCCCAUACACUCUCAUCUCUUCCUAUUUUGUGCAAUCACGCUUAAGCCACAUCAACAUUUUAUAUUGAUUUUUUUAUAGAGAUAAUAAGACAAAAAAUAAUAGUGAUAUAAAAUAUUAACGUGACUUAACUGUAAUCGCAUAAAUAGGAGGAGACGAGAGCGUAUAGGGCUAGGAGGGCAGUGUCAUGGUCAGACAUUUUAAGUGAAAGUGACAAUAUGUGCAGCUGAGUCAAUGCAUUGGAAACCUGGUUCCUCAUCAAUAUGCUUAUAAAGUAUGGAAACUAAUAAUUGUUGAGCAAACGCAGUUGCUCUUUGUCUGAUUGCUUACGAUUCACCAUGGAAACCUGGUUCCUUAUCCUCAUCGCCCUCUGCGUCUCCUUCCUCCUCAAACCCCUUCUCUCUCUAUUCCUACCCACUUCCAUCUCCAGACCCAAUCUCCCUCCCGGGCCUCGCUUCUUCCACAUCAUCGAAGGCUUCUUAUUCCUCCUCAAAUCUUCCUUGGAGCUCGAGCCUAUUAUCCGCAAACUCCAGGCCGAAUACGGGCCCAUCAUCUCCCUCCCCAUCGGCUCCCGCUCUACCGUCUUCGUCGCCGAUCGCUCCCUCGCCCACCAGGCCUUAAUCCAGAACGGAGCCGUGUUCGCCGACCGCCCCCUGGCCUUGGCCACCAACAAGUGCGUCAGCAGCAACCAGCACACUAUCGGCUCCGCCGUCUACGGCCCCUUGUGGCGCCUCCUACGCCGCAACCUCACCUCUGAAAUCCUUCACCCUUCCCGCGUCAAAUCCUACGGCAACGCCCGCAAAUGGGUUCUCGACAUCCUCGUCAACCGCCUCAAAACCGAGUCUCAAUCCCACUCCGAAGCUGCCGCCACCGGAGUCAGGGUGGUCGACCACUUCCAAUACGCCAUGUUCUGCCUCCUGGUUCUGAUGUGCUUCGGCGACAAAUUGAACGAAGAGCAAAUCAAAGAAAUCAAGCGCGUGCAGCGCCAACUACUUUUGAGUUUCGGGCGGUUCAAUAUCCUCAAUUUCAAGCCGAAAUUGACGAAGAUUAUCUUCAAAAAUCGGUGGCGGCAAUUAUUUAAAAUCCUCGAGGAACGACGAGAAGUGCUCCUCCCUCUGAUUCGAGCACGACAAAAUAGGGCAAAGCAGGGCAGCAAAACCGACGACAAAGAUGAUGAAUUUGUGUUGUCGUAUACAGAUACGCUGCUGGACCUCGAGCUUCCCGACGGCAACGAAAAGCGGAAGCUUUCGGAGGGAGAAAUGGUCAGCCAAUGCUCAGAGUUUCUGGAUGCCGGCACCGACACGACUUCCACCGCGCUGCAGUGGAUCAUGGCCAACGUAGUGAAGUACCCGCAAGUUCAGGAGAAGCUGUUUGCCGAGAUUAAAGGGGUGAUGGGAGAAACGGAGGACGAGGUGCGGGAGGAGGUCCUGCACAAGCUGCCGUAUCUGAAAGCCGUGAUCUUGGAGGGGCUGAGGCGCCACCCGCCGGCGCACUUUGUGCCGCGCGCGGUGACGCAUGACGUGGAUUUGGGCGGACACGUGGUGCCCAAGAACGGGAGUGUUAGUUUCAUGCUGGCGAGUAUAGGGUGGGACCCGCAAGUGUGGGAGGACCCCAUGGCGUUCAAGCCGGAGAGGUUCUUGGGCAGCAGUGGAGGAGAAGAAGGGUUCGAUUUGAGGGGGAGCAGGGAGAUUAAGAUGAUGCCGUUUGGGGCAGGGAGGAGGAUCUGUCCAGGGUCGGGAUUGGCGGUGCUUCACCUGGAGUACUUUGUGGCGAAUUUGGUGUGGAAAUUUGAGUGGAGAACUGUGGAGGGAGAUGACGUGGACCUGUCAGAGAAGCAGGAGUUUACUAUAGUGAUGAAGAAUCCAUUGCAUGCCCACGUAAUCCCUAGAAUUUAAUACGUGUGAGAAUUCUGUACUAAUUAUUCGGUGCAUAUUCAACCGUUGAAUCUAUCCAUGUAUGCUUUUCAUUGAUUAUGUAAUUUUGAAAAUUUAGAUUUUUAGUUUACUAGUCUGAUUCAAGACGGAUUUUAUAACUUCAAUAUUUAGAGAGUGAUUUGAGUGAGCUGUAUUUGCUACUUUUUAGCUUAUAACUAAUACAACUUUCAAAUCUUGGGAAGACAACUUCUGCAUUUAGAGACUGCCCAAGAGCAAGGAGCAUUUGAGAAAUUGAUGGGAUUGCCUACAUAGGUACAACUCUCCUUUAAUCUUUGUGUUACAGCUUGUCUAAUGACUAAUUCGAAAUCCAAGUUACCGUGGUUUGAACAAAUUCGAUGGAGUAGUGUUUUUAUUUUUACCUUCGUAUAUAUGGAAAUGAAAGAAUAAACAACUCUUUGAAGACAACUUCUUUCCGACAAAGGUGUUCAAUUACCAUUUCCGUUCAUUGCUUAAUUUGUUAGACUAUGCUUCGUCCCUAAAAUUCGUCAUCUGAAGUAAUCUCAAGUUUUCAACAUCAUGUUUUGAGCCCCAGAGAUAAGGUUAAGCUCUAUGGAACUACUAUAUUUACAGCGAUCUCGAUCUGAUAUGCUAAGGGUGCGUUUGUUGCGCCGGACUGUCUCGGAUUGGACUAGCUGCCGGGACUAAGCUGGACUGGCUUAGACUGGACUAAGCUGGACUAACUUAGUGAAGCGUUUGGUGUAAUGUCGGACUAAGAAGCAGGAUAAGAAAAACAGUACUGUUCACCAGAUUUGUGUUUGCUUAGACUAGGAUUACAAAUUUUUGCCAUUGUGUAAUAGAGUAAUGCUACAAAUCUCAUGAUAUGGGUUAAUUGGAGCAUAUUUUUGCCAUGUAUAUUAUGAAUCUUAAAAAAAAAUUGACAAUUGUUUUGUUUCUAUUACCUGCUAAUAGAAUUGGGUUUAAUUUGCAAAUGUAGCUUGGUUUAAACUCUAUCACCCAACAGAAGAAAAAUAAUAGUGCCCAAUACAUGCAACUUCAACAAAUACAAGUACAUAAGAAGAUCUCCAUAAUUUAGAAAAUCCUAGUUAACAUUAGCCAAAAUAGAUCUCCAUAAUUUACAAAAUGGCUAGUUAACAUAAGCCAAAAUACUAGUGCAAAGCUAAGUUAUAAGCCAUAACAUAAGAUUGUAUGAUUAAUAAAAUACAUCCAUGUUAACAUUAAUAAAAUACAUCCAUGUUAACAUUAGCCAAAAUCCUCAUCCGCUUGCGUUGUCGCUUAAAAGCCUUUGGACGAACACUUUCUUGAGUUCCGGUUUGAUUGCCCUGAACACUCCCACAUUUUUUGGUUUAUCCAAAAUAAGAGACAAUGCAUCAAUUUGAUCCAUAGGAGAGAGACCCAUUGCUUCAAGUUCAUUAGCUAUGUCAGUAUGAUCUGCAGUACCUUGAACUAAAGCUUCAGUUACCAUUUGCAUCCUCUUCCCACUUUCAACAUAAAAAUCUUUCAGUCCACUGAUAAUUGCCUCGGUUCCAUCACUUGAACUUCCCACAGCUCUUUUCCUCUUUCUUUGGCUAUUUUCAGAUGGGGUGCUUUGUUGGCUUUUGUUGGUUCAUUGAAGAAACAAAAUUUUCACCUCCAAUAUCACUUUCACCAACAUGAUCAUAACUUUGUUCCUCCACCAUUUGAGCAGGGGUUUCGGCUACAUUACCCGUAGCCCGAUCUUUUCCAAAUAUAUAUGCAAAUCUAUCAAACAGUGGAAAAGGUUUGCUUCUCCAUCCAUCGGCUUCUUUAUUUCUCUAAGAUUAUAUCAACAUAGCAAAACUAAAAUUUAGCAUGCGUAACAAAUAUAGCAGCAAUAAUAUAACUAAUGUAUAAAUAAAAUAGGAUAUGAACCUGCACAUAAGUUUGCCAUGAGUCAUCACUGUCAACUUCAACGCACUUUUUGACAUCAUUCCAUGCAAAUCCACUUGUGUUUAUCAUGUCAACGACCAUACUAUAUGUUUUUUUUUCCAUUUCUUCAACUUGGACUCAAUAUGUAGAUUUGCCUUUAUAUUUGAAUGAGGACAUAAAACAUUGACAGCUUUUGCUAUUUCAACCAAAGUACCUUGUUUGAAAGCACCGGUGUCACACCGUUGCUUCCGAGCAACAAAAUCCUCAAGAACUCCUAGUAAUACUUCUUCCUCAAAUGCUUCCCAUUUACGCCUUCUUCCUUUUGGCUCUUGAGUAGCAUUCAAAAUAUUUUCGUUAUCCAUACCUAAACAAAAAAUAUUUUAAUGAAGGAAAAUACCAUACAAAUAAUCAAUCUGCAUAAUAUCCAAUCAACUUACAUAAUAUCCAAUCAACUUGCAUAAUAUCCAAUUAAUUUGCAUACCAUCCAAUCAUUGUGCUAAUAUCUAACAAAUGCAUGAUAAAAAGGAAUACUAAAAUAAAAUGUUAUCAUUAACACAUAUAGCUAGUUCGGUUGCUGGUUCCUAAUUGCUCUCCACUCGUUAUACAUUUCCUGAGCCAUAUCAUUCCUCUUUGCAGUCCACUGGUCAGAUGUUUGAACACUACCAACAUAUUCACCUUCUUCUGUAUUUUGUCCAUCUUCUAUUAUUGGCAAAUUCUCCAUUGGAUCUACAGACAUCUCUUGCCUAAUAAGAUUGUGUAGUAGGCAACAAGCGGUAAUUAUUCGACCUUGUGUCCUUAUCGGAUAGAAAGAUGGACUCCUUAGUAUCGACCACCUUCCUUUUAGCAAGCCAAAACAGCGUUCAAUUACAUUCCUUGCCUUAGAAUGAUUCAUGUUAAAAUAUUCUUCCUUAUUAGAAGGUGUUCGUCCCUCCCAUUCAGAUAAAUGAUAAGGUAUUCCUCUAUAGGGUGCAAGGAAUCCUUCACCAUUUGUAUAACCACCAUCUACAAGGUAAUAAUAACCUAAUGAAAAAAAAAACAGACCUUAUUAGUGUUUUGUAGUUGACAAACAGAACUAGACCUAACUUACAAAGUUGAGACUAAGUAAUAGUCUUACCCGCUGGUACCUUAAAACCAUUAGGCAUAGUAAUUGCAUCAUGUAGCACUCUAGAGUCUGAUGCGGAACCCUCCCACCCCAGAAACACAUAUAUGAACUGCAUAUCUCCUGAACACACACCUAACACAUUAGUUGCGACUCGACCCUUUCUUGUUCGGUAUCUUGGUUUGUCAAUUUCAGGUACAUGCACAUCAAUGUGUGUUCCAUCCAAUGCUCCCAAACAAUUCUUAAAAAAAAAAAAAAAAAAAAAAAGUUUUUGUUAAUUUAUACAAAGGGAAUGAAGAGUUAAAGCUUAGGGAAAAUGAAAAAAAAUUCUCAUCAUACCUUAAAACAUCGCCACCUAGGAUCUGUAGAAUCAAUAGGCACAGGCUGUGGGACUUUCAGUAGGAUACCUUGUAAUCGCAAAAUUCCUUGCAAUACGCUAUUAAAAUACCUACUUAUAGUCUCUCCCGACCUAUAAAAUCUACCGCCAACACUACGAUUCUUAGUAUGAUGUGCUAAUAUUUGUAAAGUCAUACACACCUGCUCCUCUACAGACACCAAACCAUCAGUUUUUACCCUCACAUCUUGACGAAGUAAGUCACAUAAUAUGUCAAAAGUCCUUCUAUCCAUUCUCAAUUCGUUGACACAUUCAGUAUCAGUAUUCCCUAUUAUACCAUUCAGAUAACACAAACUAAUCUCUCGUCUAAUAAGUGAACGGUUAGUCAAUGUGGGUCGUUCAACAUGUCUCUGUUUGCCACGUAGCAUCAUCAACACAAGAAUCGUACAAAUGCAAAUUGUCUCCAAAUAAGACAUCUCUAACAAUAAGAUCAAUAAAAGCUUCCUUCGAUCCAUAUCUAUCCAAACAAAAAAAAAAACAAAAAACAAAUUAAGGACAUUAUAUAUGUAAUAUUUACUGUUAUUAAGGGUGAUGGAAAUGAAGUGAUUAUGAUACGAAAUGAACUAGAUCAAAGUAACUAGCGAAGUCACAAUCCGAGGCAUCAAAUAUACGGGUGGUGUUGGAAAAAAAAAGCUAUCAUUAACCCGAGGCAACAAAUAUACAGGUGGCGUUGAAAAAAAAAAUUAUCAUUAACCCGAGGCAACAAAUAUACAGGUGGCGUUGAAAAAAAAAAAGUUAUCAUUAACCCGAAGCAUCAUAUUCAAAAUGUUCUACUCUUAUACAUCUAUAAACAUGUGUCUAAGAACACUAGUAUGAGGAUUGCUAUCAUUGCUAGGCAUUGCAUAUGAAGAGGGAAAUUAAAGGACACCUGUAAUGCAGUAGCCUUAGCCUUAGCCUUCUGUUUAUGCUCCUCUUCUCUGCAACCAACAACCACAAAAAAUUGCAAUUCAGCAUCAACCCCACACAAUACAAAACAUUCACAUUGUAAUAUCAUGGUUAUAAACCAAGUACACACACACACACUCAUGGACAAAUGUGCAAAAUACACAUACAUACUCACACUCACACUCACACUAACACACACACACGAACAUACACACUCUCACACACGGACAUACACUCACACACACUCAUGGACAAAUGUGCAAAAUACACAUACAUACUCACACUCACACUCACACUAACACACACACAUGGACAUACACACUCUCACACACGGACAUACACUCACACACACCCUGCAUACAUACAUACACACACACACACACACACUGCAUACAUACAUACACACACACACACACACUGCAUAUAUACAUACACACACACACACAUACUCACACUGCAUACACACACACACACACACUGCAUACAUAGACACACACACACACUGCAUACAUACACACACACACACACACACACACACACACACACUGCAUACAUACACACACACACACACGGCAUACAUACACACACACACACACACACUGCAUACAUACACACACACACACACACUGCAUACAUACACACACACACACACUGCAUACACACACACACUGCAUACACACACACAAACAUACUCACACGGACAUACACACUCUUACACACGGACAUACACUCACACACACCCUGCAUACAUACAUACAUACACACACACACACACUGCAUACAUACAUACACACACACACACUGCAUACAUAGACACACACACACACACUGCAUACAUAGACACACACACACACUGUAUACACACACACACACACACUGCAUACAUACACACACACACACACACACUGCAUACAUACACACACACACACACACGGCAUACAUACACACACACACACACACACUGCAUACAUACACACACACACACACACGGCAUACAUACACACACACACACACACACACACUGCAUACAUACACACACACACACACUGCAUACAUACACACACACACACACACUGCAUACAUACACACACACACACUGCAUACAUACACACACACACACACACUGCAUACAUACACACACACACACACACUGCAUACAUACAUACACACACACACACACACACGGCAUACAUACACACACACACACACUGGUCAGCUGCACACACUGCACUCACACAGACAUACACACUCUCACACACGGACAUACACUCACACACACACUGCAUACAUACACACACACACACACACUGCAUACAUACACACACACACACACACUGCAUACAUACACACACACACACACACUGCAUACACACACACACACACACACACACACUGCAUACAUAGACACACACACACACUGCAUACAUACACACACACACACAUUGCAUACAUACAUACACACACACGGCAUACAUACACACACACACACUGCAUACACACACACACACAUACACUGCAUACAUAGACACACACAUACACUGCAUACAUACACACACACACACACUGCAUACAUACACACACACACACACACACUGCAUACAUUCACACACACACACACACACGGCAUACAUACACACACACACACACUGCAUACAUACACACACACACACACACUGCAUACAUACACACACACACACACACACACACACACACACACACACACACACACACUGCAUACAUACACACACACACAUUGCAUACAUACACACACACACACACUGCAUACAUACACACACACACACACUGCAUACACACACACACUGCAUACACACUCACACACAUACACACUCUCACACACGGACAUACACUCUCACACACUGACAUACACUCACACCCUGCAUACAUACACACACACACUGCAUACACACACACACACUGCAUACACACACACACACACACUGCAUACACACUCACACACAUACUCACACGGACAUACACACUCUCACACACGGACAUACACUCACACACACCCUGCAUACAUACAUACAUACACACACACACACACUGCAUACAUACAUACAUACACACACACACACUGCAUACAUACACACACACACACACACACAGAUUACACACACACACACAGAGUAUACACAAACAGAGAUUACACGCACACAUAGAGUAUACACACACACACAGACAAACCAGAGUACACACACACAUAGUAUACACACACAUGCACACACACACAGACACACACAGAGAUUACACACACAGAUUCUAAUCUCAAUUUGACCUAAAAAUUGAUUUUGAAGUUUACCAGAAAAGUUGAAAUACGAAAACCCCAAAUUCUAAUCUGAAUUUGAACUAAAAAUAUGAAAACCCCAAAUUCUAAUCUCAAUUCGACGAAAUCAAUCGAAGAUUUGAAGCUUACCAGACUGUCUCCGACCAGAUGAGGGCGAGAAUACGCAGAGAUGAGGGUGAGGAUGACGACGACGAGGAAGCAGGGCAAGGUCGACGACGAGCGACGAGCAGGACGAAGGACGUUGGGGAUCCUCGCAGAGAUGAGGACGAGCAGGACGUUGGGGAUCCUCGCGGUUUUCUCUCCGAGCUUACGAGUCCGCCCAAAAUUGGGGUUCUUCGUUAAGAACUCGUAAUGAGGCGUGUAAUCCGAGCGAGUCCCACCUAAGCCCAUUAAAGCUAAUCCGGUUGCACACCAAACACAGGACUAUAGUCUAGUCCAGUCCAAGCCUUGCUAAUCCUGUCAAACAAACGUGCCCUAAUAGUAUUAGCACCCAAGUUUUUGGUACAACAGUUGCAUUUUUGCAGAUCGAAAAUAUGACUAGCGUAUUUAUAUUUUUUAUCUUUUUUGUAGGGUGGUGGUUUUGGCACCCAACAAAUUGUGAUCGAAUGCCCCUUAUGCGAGGAUUAUUACAAGAUUCGGGAGCAUCUCCACUCACAAUUUUAUUUGCUUUAAGUAGAGAUACAUAAUAUCAAACGCCUUCGGAUGAACUGUCAUUUAGUCGCGAUGUUAAUUUAUAGUGAUUUCACAACACUAAAAGGUACCUCCUCGAUCACAAUAUACUCAACAAUACCUUCCACACUUUCUUCUAGGCUCCACCCUUUAGCAACAAGCUUGUUUUUGACAUCCUCAAAAGGUCCAGAACUGCCUAGAACCUUUGGCAACUCAUCAGUUGGUUUAUAUGACUUGCAAUGUUUAUUGAUAUGUUUAAUGUAAGCACUAGUUCCACCCCCCACUAGUAACACAUGAAAAAAGGGCAUUACAAUGGUUACACUUAGCCUUCCAUACUUGUACCUCCACCAUCUCUUUCUUUCCAUCUUUUUCUACUUCAUGUAUUUUCGAGACGGUACACUUAGUGACAUGAUCCCAAACCCAAGAUCUCUCAGAAGAAGAUCUCUCUAGUGAAGCUAUUAUAGUUUGUUGUCUUGUCUUUGGAAUAAGUGGUGCUUUUCUUUUUUUUUGGAGGAUGAGGGGUUUUGGGGAGGUAUUGAUGAUUUUGCCUGUGUGGGUUGUGCUUGUGUUGGUUGUGGAGGACAUGGUGAUGUAGCCAUAGAUGAUGCUACAUUAGUACUAGGGGUACUUUAACUUUGAGAUCGAGACAAUAUGUAAAAAUUUGUAAAAAUUAAAUAAUGGAAGUAUAUUCAUUAAUCAAAUAAAGAUAUUUUGAAAUAUGCACACCAAUUUCAUGAAAUUACCACAAAAUACUAAUCAUCUUAAGAAACCAUUAAAACUUUAGAGUUCAGAUCACGAAUAAAACCAACUACUAAAUCCAUCCCCAUUAAGAGAAAGAAACUAAAUAAAACCAAAUGAAAACAAGAGAAAGACGUGCUAAAUGAAAACAAAGAGAAACCAAAUGUAAGACGUGCUAAAUAAAUCCAUCCCCAUUAAUACUCGAUAUGAAACCAAAUGAAAAUAGGAGAAAGAAACUAUAUGCUAAAAAGAGGGAUAGAGCAAUUUUGAAUCAUGCUAAAUUUGACUUACAUUAGCAAUAUUCAAAGAAAAACUAGUUAAAAGAAAAACGUGCGGAUCUAUUAACUAUUAAGUACUUACAUUUAUUGGGUUCCAAAGAAGAAGACUAGUACUUUCUUCCAAUCAACAGAGUAGCCCCACUUCUCUGGUACACUUACCUGCAGAAUGAUUAGGAAUAAUUAGGAAUAAAGAGAUAAUCAAACUAUAAGUUUACACACAUUCUUGUAUACUACAGAAACCAAAACCAUGCUAAAUUUGUCUGAGAAGACAAAAACCAAAUCAGAGGCUGUUAUGCUUCUAAAAGAACAUAUGAGCAGUCACCUUAUGCAAAACAACAUCAAAGGGUCCUUGAUCUGAAAGUGGCUUGUUUACAUCAAUUGCAAUGAAGAAGAUCCCCUUAUUCCUGCAAUGAAGAAGAUCCCCUUACAACAAUCUGCAUUAACAAACCGGUUUAAUGUGCUAAACCUAAGGACAACAAGAGUAGAGCCCCAAAUUACUGAGAAAUUGCAAGGAAACAAGGUCGACAACAGAGGCAACAAAGCAGUAAACCUACAAGACUAAAAGGAAACAAACAGCCUAGCCUGCAAAGAUUCAGAGAAGUCUGGGCGCAGAGCCAGGAAUAAUUAGCACUUUAACCCUGCAAAUUAUGAUUGACGAGUGACAACCCAUCUUUGUUUACUUUUACUUUUGUUUGUUGGAGUAGCUAGCACUUUAACAUUCAACAGAAACUAGUAUGUAAAACUUUAAUGUGCUGUUCGUCUGCUACACAUUAAGUUAAUUUAUCUAUGCGUGGGUGUGUGAGUGUCACCCUUCAAAUUCAUGCAGUAUGAGGGGGAAUUCCCAUGGCCCUAGUGCCACUGCGGCUAGGCCUUGUCCUCCACCUCCAAUAUAUAUUGAAUUAAUUGCACUUUCAUCCUAGUACCCAUACACCACUCCAUACAAAAUAAAAAUAAAGACUUGUCACAAUAUCACUAAUGCCGGCUUGGUUCUUAACGUUAUGUUGUAUUUUUAAAUCCAUUUGUAAUUAUAUCGGUCCGUGAAACAAUAAUAUAAAUUGAUCAAAUUAAAAUACAAACCAUUGCCAAUAUAUUAUGAAUUAAUUGCGCUUUCAUCAUCCAACAACUCAUACAUUAUUCCAUGAAUAAAAUAAAUAUAUUAAUAAAGAGGAGAAGAUGGAAUAAUAAUAAACAACACAACGAACACGUAUGAUUAAAAGUUGUACUUUUUAAACACAUUUGUAAUUUCAUCGGUAGUAUAUAGAAAGAGGGGAAACUUAGUGAACUUAAAACAGGUUUGAAUACUAAGUGAACUAAAGCAGAACAAAUCCCUAAAAAUUGCUUAAGUUCAAAUGAGUUUUCUAUCCGAAAAUAAAAUCUAAUUUCCAAAACAUAUCAAUAUAAGAACAUCUAAAAUUGAAUUGUAUCAUCUUCAACCAAAUCUACAUCGGCCGUUUGUGAAACCAAAUGCAUACAAUCACCGAAUUACGAACUUUUUGAGAUGCAAUCGAAACACAAAUUGACAACUGUGAAUGAUAAGAACUAAGAAGAACUAGACUACAUUGAAUCAAAGACGACAACUGAGAGUGGAAACGUUUCGCUCAGACUUAGAUCUGAAAUAUGCAAAGCAAAGAAAAACCCAAACCUUGUUAUUAGUGAUUCAAUAUUAGAGUGGAAAAAAAUUGGUAGAUGCGAAGGGAAGAACCCUAAAUGGUGGCAAUAGAUCAAUCAUCAAUCUACAAAUGCAAUUCAAAUAAAAAUGACACUGAAUUACAUGGAUUAAACAAGAAUUACAAUCUUAUAAAUAUAAAUGACAAUGAAUGUGCCAUGAAAAGUGAAGCUCCACAACUGGUAAUAACGCAUGGAAAAUCAAAAUAAGCAUGUUCGACAUAGAUGCAACUGAAAAUCUAAAACCUGAAUCACUUCCAUAGAACCUAAGACCAUGCUUGCAUGCAUCAAUCAAAUCCAAAUGACACGUGGGAAGAUAGUCGACAUUGCCUCGCAUCUACUAGAACCAAAACACAACUUCCCUUCUCCCCUUUGUUCACGAGUGCUCAUACGGUUUCUAUUCUAUUUUGCACAGGUAAUAACCCAAAAUUUGUUAUCAAUGGUUCAAUAUUACAGUGGAAAAAAAUUGGUUGAUGCAAAGAGAAGAACCUUAAAUUGUGGCAACAGAUCAAUCAUCAAUCUACAAAUGCAAUUCAAAUUUUAAGAAAACCCUAAAUGGUGGCAAUAUGAUUCAAUCAUCAAUCUACAAAUUCUAACUUAAAAAGGUCGUACCCAGUGCACAAGGCUCCCGCUUUACGCAGGGUCUGGGAGAGGUGAAUGUCGGCUAGCCUUACCCCCAUUUUAUGGAGAGGCUGCUCCCAAGUCUCGAACCCGAGACCUACCGCUCAUGGGCGAAGGCACUUGCCAUCGCACCAAGUGCGACCUCUUCUACAAAUUCUAACUUAAAACCCCUAAAAUCCCUACACCAGAUAUUCACAAUUUCGCAUUAAUAAUAAAUCCUAAUUCAAAAUUACCUACAUUUUAGAGGGAUGAUGGUUGGUAGUGGUAUUGGACCACUGGUGGUAGCGGUAUUGAACCACUGGUGGUAGCAGUGUUCCUCGACGGUGGUGAUGGGAUGAUGAUGGUCGCGAUGGCGGAGGUGGUGCCGUUGUGUUGGUAGCGACGAAGCUGUGAAAGUCUGAAAGUUGGAGCUCAAUGGUGGUGAUGGGGUGAUGGUGGUCGCGACGGUGGAGGUGGUGCUGUUGUGUUAGUCCCAACGUCGUUAAGCACUGUGAGUUAGAGUCUGAGAGUUGGAGUUAAGGGAAAGGACAAGGAGGGAGUCGAGUCGAGGGAGGGAGAGAUUCUGAAAGACUGAGGGUUGUUUUGGAACUCGGGAGGUGGAAUUGGCUAGAGUAGCCCCACUUCUCUGGUUCAUUUACCUACAGAAUGAUUAGGAAUAAUUAGGAACAAUGAGAGAAACAAACUAUAAGUUUACACACAUUCCCGUAUACUACAAAAACCAAAACCAUGCUAAAUUUGUCUUAGAAGACAAAAACCAAAUCAAAGGCUUUUAUGCUUCUAAAAGAACAUAUGAGCACCCACCUUAUGCAAAACAACAUCAAAGGGUCCUUGACCUAAAAGUGGCUUGUCUACAUCAAUUGCAAUGAAAAAGAUCCCCUUAUUCCUGCAAUGAAGAAGAUCCCCUUACAACAAUCUGUAUUAGCAAACCUGUUUAAUGUGCUAAACCUAAAGACAACAAGAGCAGAGCCCCCAAUUACUGAGAAAUUGCAAGGAAACAAGGUCGACAGUAGAGGCAACAAAGCAGUAAGCCUACAAGACUAAAAGGAAACAAAUAGCCUAGCCUGCAAAGAUUUAAAGAAGUCUGGGCGCAGAGUUAGGAAUAAUUAGCACUUUAACCCUACGGAUUAUGAUUGACAAGUGACGACCCAUCUUUGUUUACUUUUACUUUUUUUUGUUGGAUUAGCUAGCACUUUAACAUUCAACAGAAACUAGUAUGUAAAAUUUUAAUGUGCUGCUUAUCUGCUACACAUUAAGUUAAUUAAUCUAUGCGUGGGUGUGUGAGUGUCACCCUUCAAAUUCAUGCAGUAUAAGGGGGGAAUUCCCAUGGCACUAGUGCCACCGUAGCUAGGCCUUGUCCUCCCCCUCCAAUAUAUAUUGAAUUAAUUGCACCUUCAUCCAAGUACCCAUACACCACUCCAUACAAAAUAAAAACAAAGACUUGUCACAAAUAUCACCAAUGCCGGCUUGGUUCUUAACGUUAUGUUGUAUUUUUAAAUCCAAUUGUAAUUAUAUCGGUCCGUGAAACAAUAAUAUAAAUUGAUCAAAUUAAAAUACAGACCAUUGUCAAUGUAUUAUGAAUUAAUUGCGCUUUCAUCAUCCAACAACUCAUACAUUAUUCAAUGAAUAAAAUAAAUAUAUUAAUAAAGAGGAGAAUAUGGAAUAAUAAUAAACAACACAACGAACACGUAUGAUUGAAGGUUGUACUUUUUAAACAUAUUUGCAAUUUCAUCGAUAGUAUAUAGAAAGAGGGGAAACUUAGUGAACUUAAUUUUGGGCCGUCAAAUCUGUUUUUACUAAUAUAUUUGAUCUCAUUUGAUCGUAGCCGUUAGAUUAUAAGUAAAAAAACAAAAAAAAAGUUUGAAAUAUGAUAAUUUAGUGGGUUCAGAAUAAUUUAAGCCAAGCUUAAAUCCUGGGAGGAAUCUAGCUGAGAAAUAUAUUUUCUCUCCCAGGCUUAUUUUAGCCCAUGAUUGGAGAUGGUUUGGGAGUGUUUUAAAACAUAUAUUUUAAGUUUUAUUUCAUGAGUUGGUGAUGGUCUAAGGGGAGAGACAUAAUAUCUAGGAUUUGGAUUCUCUCAUGAGCUAAUGGAGAGGAUCCUCCUGACCAACAUAUGUGGACCGUUGGAUGAAAAUUCAACGGCUACAAACAGAAUGUUCUUUUAAAGUUAUAAUAAUUAUAGCCGUUGAAUUUUCAUCUAACGGUCCAUAUACGUUGCUUAGGAGGAUCCUCUCCUUAAGCUCAGGAGAGGAUCCAAAUCCUAAUAUCUAACGCUUUCGGAUAAACCGACAUUUAAUCACGAUAUUAACUUCUAGUGAUUCGAGGAAACAUACUAAAGCUUAAUUUCAGUGCCGGCCUUAUUUUUGGACCCAGCUUCUCUGCCCUUCCAGUUCUCAUACACUCCCAUCCCCUCCUAUUUUGUUUCGUGCGGUCACGAUUAAUCCACGUCAAUAUUUUAUAUUGAUCUUUUUAUAGAGAUAAUAAGACAAAAAGUAAUAGUGAUAUAAAAUGUUAACAUAGUUUAACUGUUAUCGCAAAAAUAAGAGGAGAUAAGAGUGUAUGAAAACUAGGAAUGCAGAGAAGCCAGGUCCCUUAUAUUUUGUCGAACUUGUCAUGGUCAGACAUUUUAAGUGAAAGUGACAAUAUGUGCAGCUGAGUCAAUGCGGUCGAAACCUGGUUCCUUAUCAAUCUCCUUACAAAGUAUCGAAACUAAUAAUUAUUGAGCAAACGCAAUUGCCCUUUUGUCUGAUUGCCGACGGUUGACCAUGGAAACCUGGUUCCUGAUCCUCAUCGCCUUCUGCGUCUCCUUCCUCCUCAAACCCCUUCUUUCCCUAUUCCUACCCACUUCCAUCUCCAAACCCAAGCUCCCUCCUGGGCCCCGCGUCUUCCCCGUCAUCGGCGGCUUCUUAUUCCUCCUCAAAUCCUUCUCGGAGCUCGAGCCUAUCAUCCGCAAACUCAAGGCCAAACACGGGCCCAUUAUCUCCCUCCGCAUCGGCUCCCGCCCGGCCGUCUUCAUCGCCGACCGCUCCCUCGCCCACCAGGCCUUAAUCCAGAACGGCGCCGUGUUCGCCGACCGCCCCCGGGCCUCGGCCACCAACAAGUACUCCAGCAGCAACCAGCACAACAUCAGCUCCGCCAUCUACGGCCCCACUUGGCGCCUCCUCCGCCGCAACCUCACCUCCGAAAUCCUUCACCCUUCCCGGGUCAAAUCCUACGGCAACGCCCGCAAAUGGGUUCUCGACAUCCUCGUCAACCGCCUCAAAACCAAGUCUCAAUCCCACUCCGAAGGCGCCAGCGCCGGCGUCAGGGUGGUCGACCACUUCCAAUACGCCAUGUUCUGCCUCCUGGUUCUGAUGUGCUUCGGUGACAAAUUGAACGAAGAGCAAAUCAAAGAAAUCGAGCGGGUGCAGCGCCAAUUUCUUUUGAGUUCCGGGCGGUUCAAUAUCCUCAAUUUCACCCCUAAAUUGACGAAGAUUAUCUUCAAAAAUCGGUGGCGGCAAUUCUUCAAAAUCCUCGAGGAACGACGAGAAGUGCUCGUCCCUCUGAUUCGAGCAAGACAAAACAAGGCAAAGCAGGGCAGCAAAAACGACGACAAUGACGAUGAAUUUGUGUUGUCGUAUACUGAUACGCUGCUGGACCUCGAGCUUCCCGACGGAAACAAAAAGCGGAAGCUUUCGGAGGGAGAAAUGGUCAGCCUCUGCUCAGAGUUUCUGAACGGCGGCACCGACACGACUUCCACCGCGCUGCAGUGGAUCAUGGCCAACGUAGUGAAGUACCCGCAAGUUCAGGAGAAGCUGUUUGCGGAGAUUAAAGGGGUUAUGGGAGAAACGGAGGACGAGCUGCGGGAGGAGGUCCUGCACAAGCUGCCGUAUCUGAAAGCCGUGAUCUUGGAGGGGCUGAGGCGCCACCCGCCGGGCCACUUUGUGCUGCCGCACGCGGUGACGCAUGACGUGGUUUUGGGCGGACACGUGGUGCCCAAGAACGGGAGUGUUAAUUUCAUGGUGGCGGAUAUAGGCUGGGACCCUCAAGUGUGGGAAGAUCCCAUGGCGUUCAAGCCGGAGAGGUUCUUGAGCAGCGGCGGAGGAGAAGAAGGGUUCGAUUUGACGGGGAGCAGGGAGAUUAAGAUGAUGCCGUUUGGGGCAGGGAGGAGAAUCUGUCCUGCGUCGGGAUUGGCGGUGCUUCACCUGGAGUACUUUGUGGCGAAUUUGGUGUGGAAAUUUGAGUGGAGAGCUGUGGAGGGAGAUGACGUGGACCUGUCGGAGAAGCAGGAGUCUACUGUGGUGAUGAAGAAUCCAUUGCAAGCCCACGUAAUCCCUAGAAUUUAAUGCGUGGGAGAAUUCUGUAAUAAUUUUUCGAUAUACUUUGAACUGUCAAAUCCAUCAAUGUAUGCUCUUCAUUGAUUAUGCAAUUUCGAAAAUUUGGAAUUUUAGUUUACUAGUGUGAUACAAGACAGAUUUUAUAACUUCAAUAUUUAGUGAGUGAUUUGAGUGAGCUGUACUUGCUACUUUUUAGCUUAUAACUAAUACAACUUUCCAAUCUUGGAAGACAUCUUCUGUAUUUAGAGAUUGCCCAAUAGCAAGGAGCAUUUGAGAAUUUGAUGGGAAUGCCUACAUAGUUACAACUCUCCUUUAAUCUUGGUGUUACAACUUGUUUGAUGACUAAUUCGAUAUCCCAGUUAUUGUGGUCUGAACAAACUCGGUGGAGUAGUGUUUUUGUUUUUACCUUCGUAUAUAUAGAAAUGGAAGAAUAAACAACUUUUUGAAGACAACUUCUUUCCGACAAAGGUGUUAUGGUACCAUUUCUGUUCAUUGCUUAAUUUGUUAGACUAUGCUUCGUCCUAAAAAUUCGUCAACUGAAGUAAUCUGAAGUUUUCAACUUCAUGUUUUGAGCCUCGGAGAUAAGGUUAAGCUCUAUGGAACUACUAUAUUUACAACAAUCUCGAUCUGAUUUCUUUGACAUGUUGAAUUUGUUGGUGGGACGCUGAGAUGCAAUGAAUAUGUGACAUUACGCAAAGUUGGAGAUGCAAGCCAUAAGGUUGGUCAUAUACAAUAUGCUAAUAGUAUUUGCACCCACAUUUUUAGCACAACAGUUCCAUAGCUAGAGUUCUAGUUUGCGGACGGAAAGUCUGACUAGCGUAUAUAUAAUUUGAUCUUUUGUAGGGUGGUGGUUCUGGCACCCAACAAAUUGUGAUUGAAGGCCCCUUAUGUGAGAAUUAUUACAAGAUUCGGGAGUAUCUCUAGUCACAAUUUUAUGUCCUUUAAGACCAUCUCCAACCUUUGGGGACAAAGCUUAAAAAUUUAAGCCAGAAAAUUUUAAGUCAUAAGCGAGAAACUGUUUUUCUCUUCUAACCCUUAUGGCUUAAAAUUUUAGCCUGUGAUGAUCAAAUAAUGAUUUUAGCCUAACUUUUUGUUUUCGGUAACUUUUUUUGAAAAUAAAAUUUACGUAGAUUAUCUUAAUCUAUUUUUAUAAAUAUUUUAGUCUAAAAAUAUUUAAAUUCCGAUAAGUAAUUAAAAAUCAUACAAAUACAUAGGUAUUUAUAAAGUUUUAAGUUAAAUUUGAUUUAAAUAAUUUUCUUAAAUUAUUUUAGAUGUUGAUUUAAUCUUGGACGGUCAAAUCUUUUUUUUACUUUUAGAUUUGAUCUCAUUUGAUCAUAACCGUUAAAUUAUAAGUAAAAAGCAAAAGAAAAAUUGAAAUAUAACAGUUUGGUGGAUUCAAAAUAAUUUAAGCCAACUUUAAAUCUUGGAGGAAUCUAGUUUAGAGAUAUAUUUUAUUUUAGCUUAUGGUUGGAGAUAGUUUGGAGGUUUUAAAAUUUAUAUUUUAAGCUUUAUUUUAUAAAUUAGAGAUCAUCUAAAUGGAUAGACAUAAUAUCUAAUGCCUUCAUAUGAACUUGAAUCACAAUGUUAACUUCCAGUGAUUCAGGAAACACACUAAAGUUUAAUUUCAACGUAGGACUUAUUUUUCGUCGAAGUUGUCAUGGACUCAUGGUCAGACAUUUUAAGUGAAAGUGACAAUAUGUGCAGCUGAGUUAAUGCCGUGGAAACUUGGUUCCUUAUAAUGUAUGGAAACUAACAAUUAAUGAGCAGACGCAGUUGCCCUUUUGUCUGAUUGCUUACGAUUCACCAUGGAAACCUGGUUCCUUGUCCUCAUCGCCCUCUGCGUCUCCUUCCUCCUCAAACCCCUUCUCUCUCUAUUCCUACCCACUUCCAUCUCCAGACCCAAUCUCCCUCUCGGGCCUCGCUUCUUCCCCAUCAUCGAGGGCUUCUUAUUCCUCCUCAAAUCUGCCUCGGAGCUCGAGCCUAUUAUCCGCAAACUCCAGGCCGAAUACGGGCCCAUCAUCUCCCUCCGCAUCGGCUCCCGCUCUACCGUCUUCGUCGCCGACCGCUCCCUCGCCCACCAGGCCUUAAUCCAGAACGGAGCCGUGUUCGCCGACCGCCCCCGGGCCUUGGCCACCAACAAGUGUCUCAACAGCAACCAGCACACCAUCGGCUCCGCCGGCUACGGUCCCUCGUGGCGUCUCCUCCGCCGCAAUAUCACCUCCGAAAUCCUCCACCCUUCCCGCGUUAAAUCCUACGGCAACGCCCGCAAAUGGGUUCUCGACAUCCUUGUCAACCGCCUCAAAACCGAGUCUCAAUCCCACUCAGAAGACGUCGCCAGCGGCGUCAGGGUGGUCGACCAUUUCCGAUACGCCAUGUUCUGCCUCCUGGUUCUGAUGUGCUUCGGCGACAAAAUGAACGAAGAGCAAAUCAAAGAAAUCGAGCGUGUGAACCGCCAACUACUUUUGAGUUUCGGGCGGUUCAAUAUCCUCAAUUUCAAUCCAAAAUUGACGAAGAUUAUCUUCAAAAAUCGGUAGCGGCAAUUCUUCAAAAUCCUCGAGGAACGACGAGAAGUGCUCGUCCGUCUGAUUCGAGCACGACAAACCAGGGCGAAGCAGGGCAGCAAAACCGACGACAAAGACGAUGAAUUUGUGUUGUCGUAUACUGAUACGCUGCUGGACCUCGAACUUCCCGACGGCAACGAAAAGCGGAAGCUUUCGGAGGGAGAAAUGGUCAGCCUCUGCUCAGAGUUUCUGAACGCCGGCACCGACACGACUUCCACCGCGCUGCAGUGGAUCAUGGCCAACGUAGUGAAGUACCCGCAAGUUCAGGAGAAGCUGUUUGCUGAGAUUAAAGGGGUGAUGGGAGAAACGGAGGAGGAGGUGCGGGAGGAGGUCCUACACAAGCUGCCGUAUCUGAAAGCCGUGAUCUUGGAGGGGCUGAGGCGCCACCCGCCGGCGCACUUUGUGCUGCCGCACGCGGUGACGCAAGACGUGGUUUUGGGCGGACACGUGGUGCCCAAGAACGGGAGUGUUAAUUUCAUGGUGGCGGAUAUAGGCUGGGACCCGCAAGUGUGGGAGGAUCCCAUGGCGUUCAAGCCCGAGAGGUUCUUGGGCAGCGGCGGAGAAGAAGGGUUCGAUUUGACGGGGAGCAGGGAGAUUAAGAUGAUGCCGUUUGGGGCAGGGAGGAGGAUCUGUCCUGCGUCGGGAUUGGCGGUGCUUCACCUGGAGUACUUUGUGGCGAAUUUGGUUUGGAAGUUUCAGUGGAGGGCUGUGGAGGGAGAUGACGUUGACCUGUCAGAGAAGCGGGAGUUUACUAUGGUGAUGAAGAAUCCAUUGCAAGCCCACGUAAUCCCUAGAAUUUAAUACGUGUGAGAAUUCUGAGAAUUCUGUACUAAUUUUUAGUACGUGUGAGAAUCCUGUACUAAUUUUUAGGGUAAAUUACAUAGUAGUCACUCAUGUUUGAUGUCUAUUACAACCUCAUACAACGUCUUUAAAACAUUUCACUUUCAUACAUCAUUCAAAAUAAUACAUCCGUUAGAUUUUCCGUCCAUUAAUCUGUUAAAUACUGACGUGGCUGCCACAUCUGUGCUGAUGUGGCUGCCAAAUGUGUGUCACGUGGCAAAAAUAAUAAUUUUUUAAUUUUUUUUAAAAAAACCUAAAUCUUUGAAAUUUAAAAUAAAAUAAAAUAAAAUAAAAAAUAAAAAAAUAAAAACCCAAAAGCUGAACAAAACCCCACCCCCGUGAACCCCUCUCAGCCUUCUUCUUCCCCGCUCCCAUCUUCCCCCACCCCAUACUUGCACCUUUGAAGGAAAAAAAAAACCCAAAGAACAACCCAGAUCCCAUACCCCAUACGACCACCCCCCAACCCAUAUCCCAUUACCACGCCCCCCCUGCGCGCGCGCGCGCGAAACCCAACCCAGAUCCCAUUACCACCCCUCCGGCGCGAAACCCAUAUCCCCCCCCCCCGAACUGCAAGGACGUCAUCCUCACCUGCAUCAUCUUCAUCGUCGAAGACGACAACUGUGGAGCCAAAAAUAUUCACUAGGCGACACGUGGAUUUGUGAACGAAAGAGGACAAAAAUACCCUUGAGGUAUAUCGGGAUUCCUACGCGCAAGUAGUGGGUAAUCAUCCUCAACCAAUUCAAAAAUGCUCCAGAAGAGGUAACUAAUUCCAAAUUAUCUUAUUUUAGGUAAUUAUUUCCAAAACUUAAUUUCCCUAAUAUAUUAUUUAGUUAAUUAAUUAUCUAAAUAAUAUAUUCUUCCCAUAUCUCCUAAAAUCAUCCCUUAAUUACCAAUUUGAAACAUCCACUCAAACCUAAAAAAUGGGAUAGGGCCGGCUACCCCAUUCAAAGUCUAUUCCAUCACCUUUUUUUCUACCUUUUCCACCUUUCCUUCCCUUUUAAAUUAGCCAAUCAAUACCAUAAAUAAUAAAAUAUCUCCUUUCAUAUUUAAUUAGCCAAUUAAUUGGCUAAUUAAACCUAAAAUUAAACCUAAAAAUCCCAUAGUAACCGGCCACAUUCCCUCCCAUCUUUUCCCUACCUUUUUUUUUAUUUUCCUCCACUUUAUUACUCAAAUAAAGCUAAUCAUUUAAGACCCCAUUCAUUUCUAUUUUAUUAGCCAAUAAAGGGGCUAAUAAAAAACCACAAAUUGACUAAGAAAAAGGGAAGGGUGUGGCCGGCCCUUCCUUGGUGAAAAAUGGGGAAGCCUAAUCCUAUAAAUAGGCUCCUAUUCUCACCAAAAAUUCAUUCCAAACCUCUUGCAAAAAUUCCAAAACACUCUAAACACUAUUUCUCUCUAAAUUUCUAACUUUGGCAUCGGAGGUUCUUCGGCCAAAGCCCCCCCCAUUCAUCGUGGGCGCGUGAGGCUUUUGGCCUUAACCUAAGGUGCUAGUUUGUUUUGUAGGUGCAAAAUCGUCCAAGAUCGAAGAGGAGAAAAUUUGCAUCCACAAAUUGGUGCUUUCAUUGAGAGUUGUAAUCCAUACUCGUAGAAGACUCUCGUACAAAAAGGUUUUUUUCUUUAUUUUCUAGUCUAUUUGAAUAUUUUUCAUACGUUCUUAUUAUUAGAAUUUUCUACUUGCAAAGGUUCUUUGAUAAAACGUAUAAGAAAAAUAUAAUGACUAGAAAUUUAGAAAAUUCCGCAAGUAAAAAAUUCUAGUAUUCAAGAAAUGGGACUACGGAGAUCCAUGAGGCAAAAUGCGACAAGAAGGGGAGCGACAUCAUCACCACGAGCUUCCACCAUGGGAACCACCGUGAUGGCUACCUCGGUAGCCACCCGCGGCGAGGUCCAUGGUGCCUUCACCACGGCCGCCAUGGGAACCACCACGGUGGCUACUUCGGUAGCCGCUCGUGGCGAGGUCCAUGGAGCCUUCACCACAGCCGCCAUGGGAACCACCACGGUGGCUACUUCGGUAGCCACUCGUGGCGAGGUCCAUGGAGCCUUCACCACGGCCCGAGUCGUGCCAUCCAAGUUUACGUGGACCAAAGCCCAAGCCUCGCAUUCACAUGCACCGCGCAUUGAGCAGCCUGCUCCCCGUGAUCCAGCCUGCUCUUGUAGCCCAGCCUGCUCCAACGAUCCAGCCUGCCCCAGUGAUCCAGCCUGCCCCCGCAGCCCAGCCUGUUUUCAUGGUUUCCCAAGCUGCCCAAGUCCGCCCGAGACAAUCUCAACCAUCCGGACCAAUCAUCGAGGCUGAGGCGUUUUCACCGCAUUUCUCUGCAGAUUUGACAUUCCCCAACUCAAAUCUCGCACCUGGAGUCAACCACCCUUUCAUUGUUCAAGGAGGUGCAUUCCAUCCAAGUUCUUCCAAUCCGAAUGGCGAACAAAACUUGUCCCGACAAGUCAUAGAAUUGACGAGCGCCCUUGCACAACAAACCACCUUGGUGAAUCAACUUUUACAACGUACUGAGAUGCAUCGCGCUCACGAUGAAGUUUCCCGGAGUAGAACAAGGGUAGACAAUGAGCCUUUUAAACAGCGUCCUGGAAAGCAGCCAUUCAACCCAUCACAAGUGGAGCAUUCAGACAGUGCACACUCUCGAUUGGGCCCCCGAAAUAGCAUAUACUCCCGUCUUAGCGCGCGGAUGAGCGUGCACUCUCGGUUAGGCCCACGAGCAAGUAUACAUUCACGGUUGGGGCCACGCUUUGAUAAUCAACAUGGGCAACCUUCCAGGCAAAGCAUUCAUUCGCGAUUAGGCUCACAAGGAGUAUCCUCCACAUCACAUCGGAGCAGGCAGCCUGACAAACGGAAGGAAACGAUCGUUCAAUCUGGCUCUAGUUCAACCGAUAGCCUGCAAAGAAAUCCCUCGCCUGCUAGGAAUCUAUCUCAUCCAUUGCAGCCACAGCGUAGACGAGCCGAGCGAGAAGAAGAGCAGCCUAGACCGGUAGAAAAAGACCAAGGGCAGCAAAAAGCUCCGCUACCCCCAACAAAAGCAAAUCCAAGAAGAGGUAGAAAGGCUUUUCAAUGAGCGGAUGCGUGAUUUUCGGCGCAACGAAAUGGUUGAUGAGGCACUAAGGCGAGAUAUGACCAACAUGAGCAGGUCACCUUUCGCGGAUGAGAUCGAGCAGGCAGAGCCUCCGCGCAAGUUUAGCAUGCCACACUUCACAUCUUUCAAAGGAGAUGGGGAUCCCGAAAGACACUUGAAGCAUUACCGAAAUGCGAUGGUCCUUUAUCGGAAUAAUGACGCCCUUAUGUGCAAAAUAUUCGCCACUACUUUACAAGGCGAGGCACAAGAUUGGUUUCAUACCUUGCCGGCACGAUCCAUCCUGAAUUUUGAUGAUCUUUCCUUGGUCUUCACCAAAGAAUACUCAUCUUAUCGAUCGAUCAAGAAGAAGUCCGAUCACCUGUUCAACGUAAAGAAAAACCCAAAAGAGUCGCUUCGCGAUUACGUGAAGAGAUUCAAAGCAGAGAAGGCGAAGAUCGUCGGAUGCGACAACUCGAUAGCAAGUGCAGCCUUCCAAAAAGGACUACCAGCAGACCACCUACUGUUUGGAGAAAUGAUCAUGAAAGAAGACCUAACUCUAGCAGAUUCCUUUGCUCUGGCAGAAAAGCAUGCGCUUUGGGACGAGGCUCGACAAGCAGAAAAGGCUCCCGAACAACCUCGAAAAGAGUUGGCAGCUACUCAAAAGAAGGAUGAAAAACAACCCAACAAGGGCAGGCAGGAGUUCAAGCGCAGGGACCGACCCACGACCAAAGAAGGCCCGAUGACCAACAACUAUUCUAAGUUCUCAAUUCCGAUUCAUCAAAUCCUUCGUGACGUCAAGAAUGAACCAUGGUUCAAGUUGCCGAAGCAGUCAAAAGGAGAUACUUCCAAGUUGGACCACACUAAGUAUUGUGCAUUCCACCGAGGUCCCGGUCACACAACCAACGAUUGCUACACUUGGAAGAACUACCUAGAGAAACUCGUGAAAGAAGGCAAAGUCGAUAGAUAUUUGGACAAGCCAGCUGAGCAGCAAAAAAGGAAUGCAGACGGAGAUGAGGAGCCACCAACUAAGACGAUUCGAAUCAACGGCAUUUUUCGCUGAGUCCGAGCACUUAGGGGCUACUAAUAACUCCAAAAAGAGGAAGAUCCAGCAGGCCUUACUAAUCUCACAAGUUCAUGCAGUCGAUACCCAACCUGGACCUAUCAUUGGCUUCACGGAGCAGGAUGCAGAAGGAGUCGACUUCCCACACGACGAUGCAUUAGUAGUAUCUGUCCAACUAGCCCAUGCUAUAGUCGACAGGAUGAUGGUUGACAAUGGAAGUGCGGUCAACCUACUUCAACUUUCAGUCAUUCAGAAGAUGGGCCUGGAAAGUACAAUCAUACGCCGGGCAGAGGUACUUACUGGAUUCAACGGACACACCUCAACUGCCAUCGGUCAUAUCAUACUUGACGUAAAAACACCGCCAGUCGUCUCAAAGCAAACAUUCACGAUUGUAAGCGACCCAUCUCCCUACAAUGGGAUUCUUGGGAGACCUUGGUUGAUCAAGCUGGAUGCUGUCACUUCCGUCAAGUAUCAAAAAAUCUGAUUCCGCAUCCCGGAAGGAGGAGUCGGAGAGAUCAAGUCUGACCAGGCUUCAUCCCGACGAUGCACUGUGCAAAUGUUAAAAGAAACAAAGAAAAAGACCUUUACCCCCGUAGAGGUUACCGAAGUCCAAAAGGGCAAAGAAAUUGCCAAAUAGCAAUUACAGCAGGUGGAUCGAGAAGAUGGCACCCAAGCAGACAGGAUAGGAUGGAAACCCGAAGAGGACGCCGAAGACAUCAUUCUUGAUCCCCAGCAGCCGGAAAAGACGACUAAAAAUUGGCUCACGACUAAGCCCAGACGAGAAGGAAGAACUCACAAUUUUCCUUAGGAAAAACCGAGAUAUCUUCGCAUGGUCACCAUCCGACAUGCCCGGUAUUGAUCCCAAAGUGGCCUGCCACAAGCUGCACGUCGAUCCAACUGCCAAACCGGUAAUUCAAAAAAGAAGACAUUUCGCUCCCGAACGAGUAGCGAUCAUCGAGGCAGAAAUCGACAAACUAUUGGAGGCCGGUUUCAUAGAAGAGGUAGCACACUCGGCAUGGCUUGCUAAUGUCGUACUAGUCAUGAAGAAAGAGAAGGGCAAAUGAGGGGUUUGCGUAGACUACACUGACCUCAACAAAGCAUGCCCAAAAGACCAUUAUCCUGUCCCCCCGGAUUGAUCUAUUAGUAGAUUCAACUUCUGGAAACCAGUUACUUAGUUUCUUAAACGCAUACUCCGGCUACAACCAAAUAGCCAUGCAUGAGCCCGACAAGGAGAAAACUGCGUUCGUGAUAGAGCGAGGCACUUACUGCUACAAGGUCAUGCCUUUUGGCCUCAAGAACGCGGGAGCCACUUACCAAAGGUUAGUAAAUAUGAUGUUCAAAAAGCAAAUUGGGGUAACCAUGGAGGUCUAUGUCGACGAUAUCAUGGUAAAGGGCAAGCAGCGAUCAGAUCACAUUCGCAAUUUAGCAGAAGCUUUCAAUAUCCUUAGAAGGUACAAGAUGAAGCUCAACCCCACCAAGUGCACGUUUGGAGUAUCUUCAGGUCGAUUCCUAGGGUACUUAGUAACCCAACGAGGAAUUGAGGCACAUCCCAAGCAAAUCCAAGCAAUCAUAGAGAUGAAAUCUCCAACUACCUUGAAGGAGAUCCAAAGCUUGACCGGACGAGCAGCCGCCCUCAAUCGCUUCCUCUCACGAUCCACCGAUCGAUGCAAACCCUUUUUCAAAGCUAUCAAGAGGGCACAAAGAAACAAAUGGGAUGAAGAAUGCGAAAAAGCUUUCCAAGACUUGAAGAGUUAUCUCACAUCACCUCCCUUACUAUCCAAGCCGGAAGCAGCGGAGGAUUUAUAUAUUUAUUUGGCAGUUUCCGAGGUAGCAGUGAGCUCUGCUCUCAUACGAGAAGAGCUGGGGGCCCAACUGCCGGUAUUCUACACUUCUAAAGCUCUUCUCGAUGCAGAAACAAGAUAUCCGAAGAUCGAAAAAUUAAUUUUGGCGUUAGUUGUUGCGGCUCGGAAGCUCAGACCCUACUUUCAAACUCAUACAGUCAUUGUUAUGACUCAAUAUCCCUUACGAUCAAUAUUACAUGGUCCGGACGCUUCUCAACGAGUGAUGAAAUGGGCAUUGGAACUUGGCCAAUAUGGUUUAGUUUUCCAACCUCGCACAGCGAUAAAGGCCCAAGCCUUGGCGGAUUUCGUGGCAGAAUUCACACCUAGCCUAGGCAACGCAACAGUGCGGCCCAACGACGCCCCAGAAGCAGCAGAGAGUACCUUAGCCACACUUACUCCAUCCAAUAAAGAUUUCUGGAACUUGCAUGUCGACGGUGCAUCCAACUAUAAAGGCUCGGGAGCAGGUGUAGUUCUUGUUACUCCAGAUGGCUCAAUGCUCGAGCAGGCGAUCACUCUAGGUUUCAAAGCAUCCAAUAACGAAGCAGAGUACGAGGCUCUACUAGCGGGCCUCCGAAUGGCAAAAGACUUGGCGGUGAAGAAACUCGCAAUUCAUUCUGAUUCCCCAACUAAUCACCAGCCAGGCUACUGGGGAAUACACUGCAAAACACCCAAGGAUGGCACAAUACCUAGAGAAAGUACGCCAGCAGCUUGAAGCAUUUCAGACUUACACUCUCACUCAAGUUCCGCGGGCAGACAAUGCACAUGCAGAUGCACUAGCUGGUUUAGGCUCCGCCCUUGACCACCAAUUCAAACGCUCUAUUCCGGUGGAAUAUCUAGACAAGCCAAGCAUAGAGAUGGAGUCGAUAGCCGAAGUGUCACAGGUUAGUGUAACUCCCACUUGGCAAAGUUCAAUUAUAGACUACUUGGUCAACGACACAUUACCCACAGAAAGAUUGGAGUCAAGGAAGCUUCAAAUUAAGUCGGCACGCUACUAUAUGUGGAAUGGCAUUCUCGUCCGAAGAUCCUACACCGGACCACAUCUCCGCUGCCUGGCACCUCCCGAUGACUUGAAGGUUCUAAGCUCAAUCCACGAAGGCGUUUGUGGGAAUCACUCUGGAGGUCGAUCCUUAGCCCAAAAGGCUCUUAACGCAGGCUAUUACUGGCCUACCAUGCACCAAGAUGCUAAGGAGUUAGUACAAAAAAUGCGACCGUUGCCAACGCUACAAACCAGUACCAGCACACUACCCGCCAGUGAGCUACACACCCGCAAACGAGUCCUUGGCCAUUCAUGCAGUGGGCAAUCGACCUGGUAGGGCCUAUGCCGCCUGCUACGGGGGGCAGAUGCAUGAUGAUCGUGGCAACCGACUAUUUCACCAAAUGGGUAGAAGCAGAACCCAUGACAACCACGACUCAGACGGAUAUAGAGAGCGCUUUAUAUGGAGGAACAUCAUUUGCCGAUUUGGCAUCCCUCAGUCCAUCGUCACUGACAACGGUCCUCAAUUUGUGGGAAAAGAUUUGGCAAAGUUCUUCCAAAAAUACGGCAUCAAACAACACAUGUCCACACCAAGAUAUCCUCAAGGCAAUGGGCAGGCUGAAGCAUCCAACAAGACGAUUCUCGACUGCCUCAAGAAAUCCCUCACCGACAAAAAGGGAAAAUGGCCAGAUGAGCUCCCAGGAUGUUUAUGGGCAUAUCGCACCACCAAAAGACGAGCAACCGGUGAAACUCCUUUCUCUUUGGCGUUUGGUUCGGAGGCAAUCAUACCUCCCAACAUCAUCGUGCCAAGCAUCAACACUCUAUUGCUAAACGUUGAGCGGAACAGUAAAGAAAUGGCCACAGAUUUAGAUCUGGCAGAAGAAAGGCGCGAACAAACCAUCACCCGCAUCGCAGCCUACCAGCAGCAGCUCAUUUCCAGCUACAACAAAAGGGCCAAGAUCCGGCAGUUCCAACCUGGAGACCUAGUCCUAAGAAAAGCUUUCAUCACUGCCCGCAGAGAAGGCUCGAAAAAAAUGGACCCCAUCUGGGAAGGUCCUUACAAGAUCAACAGAGUCGGCGGCAAAGGCAGUUAUACUCUUGCUACCAUGAAUGAUAAAGAGAUCGAGAAGCAAUGGAACGCCUACAAUUUGAGGAAAUACCAUGUGUGACUUCACACUAUAUCAAGACCCGAAGACUCGAGCAUCUCAACGGUCACCACCUCGUAAACCGAGGACUAUCCAAUCAUCAUGCAGUUUUUGCAACCAAGUUAUUCGCUCAUUUUAUUUUUCAAUAAAGAAUUCAAAAGUAAUUUGUAAUUUGGCUUUAAUAUAUGUCUACAACAACUUAUUUCUUUCUGCAUUUCAAAAGAAAAUUACACCCCCCAAGGGACCAACUGUGCUCUCCAAGGAGGGAGGAUAAACUCAACACUCCGAAUAUCCAGACGUGGAUGAGCUUGGCUGCCCUAGAAUGACUAGGUGCAUGAUGGCUUGCGCCGGGAUUCCUAGAAGUAGCCACAAUGGUCUGUUUCAAGGCUUAGCUAGUUGAAGGAUUAUGGGUCUAUCGGCUUAAUCCGCAGGGAACCGGGCCCUAGAUACGGAGGGGGCACAUUAUGCAGCACACCCAAUGGGCGGCUGCCCUGGAAACCUAAAGCUGCUACCGAGUGCACUAAGGUAGCCUACGGAUUUCCAGAAGACUGCCUACGGCUUGCCCUUCGAGCAGUAGAACCACGCUAGACUUAUGCAACCGCACAUUAUUGUGAAAGGUUAAACAAGUUAGCGUGCACACACGAAGAUUUUAUCCACUACCGACAUGCUACGUAGUUGAUAAGCUUCACCUCUGUCAAACGCAGAAUAACUUAUACCAAAUCCUAAAGUGUUGUGAUACUUGCUACACGGCCUACGGAAUUGGAAAAAUCCAAGGUUGAAUAACCAAGUGGUUACGCGGAUUCGUCUGCUUCUGUAAGUAAGGCAUCCGGCUGCCAACCCUAUGGUUAAUAACUUUGCAGAAGUUUCUACAUCAACACCUACGGUUGCAUAGGCUAUGUGGGCCUGUCUACUUAUAGAAAAGUAGCACGCCUGCCACUGGCUUAUAUAAGGUCUAAAGGUUAAAAAAAAAAAUGGGAAAAGCAAAAGAAGCGAGUUUAUUAAAUUUUAUAGCAAAAUUGAUAAACAACAAGCAAAUACCAAAAGAGUUCAAGCAAAAGCAACAAAGGAAAGAAAAGGAAACCCUAAAAGCUACCUAGAAGACUACUCUUCGGUAGUUUGGACAUCUCCCAACUGCUCGGUUGUUACACCUUCAGCAGCCUUGGUGUUCUCAGCAGCGGCAUCCUCCGGACCUUUACCCUCGACUGUUCCAGCCUGGGUAUCAACUCCUCCAGCUAUUUCACCGAUAGAAGACUCAAAGGUAAAAUCGAGCAAGUCUUCUGGGGAAAUAGAGAAGGUCUCGAAGUCUUUACCGGAAAACUCAAAGUCAGACGGCCGCCCAUAGAGAUGAUCUACAUAGCCCAGCUUGUAGAAAUCAGAUUGGUUCUGAAUAAGCGAAGCCUCGAAACCAUUUUUCUCACUCUUCAACUGCUCAUUCUCCUCAAACAGGCAAGCACGAACUCGCUGCAACUCCUCAAUUUCUUUCUUAAGAUUGUCGUUGGUCUUCAAAACACCUUGAAGUUCCGACACUUGAGGCUCAAGCCUGUCAGCAACCUCUUUGAAGUGGAUCGCUUGGUUGUAAGUAGCAAUCAAUUCUUCAUCCUUUGCAUAAGCAGCGGAGCGAAGUUCAGAUAUGGAGCGUUCAAGAUCUCGAAUCUGAGGUAUGUAACGCUCGAUUUCCUUCUCUGCACUUUCAUUCUUUGUUUGGACCGCAUCAAACCUAGUCUUCAAAUCCAUGAUCUCCUGGUGAGCGGCCUCAAGCUGCUGAGAAGUGGGGUCAGAAGUAUGAGAUUCCUUCAAAGCAGCAAGCUCAGAUUCCAAUUUUUUGAUUUUUUUCAACCGAGGAAUAAGCUUCGGCAGCCAUAGUUCUUGCCAUCUCUUUAGCAGCCUUGGUGUCCUCUUGGUCAAGGAACAUAGACUCGGCUGCCAGAAUUGUUGUUUUCUGCAUCAUGGCUAGCAGAGCAGUCUUCCUAUACUCGGGUGUAUGCUUUGCAAAAAAGACUCGGACCAACAAUCUCUUUGACGCCAUCAACAAACUGGGCGCAUACAUCCAUGUCUUCAAGAAGAUCUGGUUUCAAAAGAGCACAAAUCUUAGCAGCCUCCUCAGAAACGGCCUUGGCGGAUUCUUCAAGCCUGCCUGAGCGAGCAGCUUCAUUCUUAUCAGCAGACGAGAUGGUUGCAGCAGCGGAAGAAGCAGUAUUCGGCGCCACUUUAGCAGACAGGGGCACCUUAUCACUCUUCAUCAUAGUAGCAAGUCUCUCUUCAAGGGUAAGUCAGGUUUAGUCCCGGACGGACGUUUUGGCACAAACUUCGGUACCAAAGGCACGGAAGAACUUUUACGCUGAGCAAUUUUUUUCAGCAAUCGAGCUAGCAGCCUUCGAAGCAAUAGGCGUUACUGGCACAAAUGUAGCAGUUCGUUCUUUCUCGCCCUUAGAGGAAGUCAGGUCAAUCACAAUCUUGGGAGCAGCCGGAGAAUCCCCACGAGCAGUCUUCAUUUUCUUCUCAGCAGGUAUCUCUUGAGCAGGCGGGGAAUGUUUCUUUUUCCCACCUUCAUUGGUAGUAGGCUCCACCACAGUGAUAGGACGAGCCAUCGCGUCUGCCUUGAUCCGUUUUAUUUCUUCUUCUGGGGGUAGUCCACCUUUUUCCCUACGAAGAGGACUAAGCAGCCAACGCCACUCACGAUACUCGGAAGGAAUACCCAGAGCGACAUGCACUUUUUUCAUAUCUGGAGAAACCCUAGGAGUUGAGCCAAAUUCCGAAUCUACAAAAAAAAAAGAAAAAAAAAACAGAAGACAAUCAGAAAAUUGAAGAAUGAUUUGGCACUAAAGCAAAGCAGCCGAAAAAGACUAAGCAGUCUGCUUACCAGAUAUGAAGACCGUUGAUACACGCAGCUCGGGAGAAGAAUCAGAUUCCCAUUCUCCACUUAUCUCCAAAGUCUCUUUGGCCCAAUCAUGAUCUCCUUUACUCGAAUUAUCAAAAAGCUUAUGACGGAUUCGCAGUUGUCCAACUCCAUCAAUACGACCUAUGUCAAAGAAAUACCAAAAUUCGUUGGUGGUUAGUCCCAAGUCAAAGAAUUGGUUCAAAUUGUGGAACCCCACCAUCACUCGGACCGCAUUCGGGGAACAUUGGGCAGGCGCACAUUUCAUAGAGCAAAGCACUUCUUGGAAGAAAACGCGGUAUAGGGAAAGUAAACCCUAACACAAAAUAGUAAGGAUGGAACUUGAUAGUUCUCCGAGUUCCACUGCAUGGUUCUCGGCUGCUACCAUCUUUAACUCGUCUCACACGCACUCCCGACGGAAUGGCAUGCCAAUACGUUUCAAGAAAAUCUCUAAACAAAUUGUCGGAGCUAAUCUUGAUGUGAGCAGCUUUGAAGUAGCCAAUCUUGCUCAAAGACCCGCCUUGACGGUACAGCGGGGGCACACCAUCAUCAUUCUUACGGCUCGAGGAAGACAUGCUUGAAAAUUCUACAAAAGUACAAGGAAGAUUUGUUAGAGAGUUGUUAAAAAAAAAAAAAAAAAAGAAAAGAAACAGCUCUCGGCAGCAAAAAAAAAAAAAAAAAAAAAAAAAAAAAAGAAACAGCUCUCGGCAGCAAAAAAAAAAAAAAAAAAAAAAAAAAAAAAAAAAAAAAACAAGAAUUAGGCUUAAAGCCGCAGGACCAGCAAACCUGCCAGGCCCCACGGCCUGGCUUGCUUCAACGCCCAGCAAGAAAAAAAUAUAUAUAUUUUCAUGGCAUUACCAUGCCAUGGUUCACCAGAUCAACCUAUAACAAGUCUCUGAUUCCCAUCAGGCCAAGAAUCAAGAUCCAAAGAUUCCAGAAAAUCAAGAAGACAAGAAAAAUAAUUUUUUCUUACUUGGAAGCAACGAAGAGCGAUCCUUUACACGGGCAAGACGUAGAAGAUUGCUAGAGGAGGGGGAACAAAUAUCCUCUAAGCUCUCUUUUUCUCUUGUAAGGAUGAAUAAGUUUCACUCUAAAAGUUGAUUUAACAAUCCACUUAAGGUGGACUUAAAUAAGCUUUGGGGAAAUUUAUUUCCUUUUCCUAGAAGGAUUUAAUUUCCUAUUGAAAGAAAGAAUCAACAACAAAAUAGGAAACAGUUCAGAAUUUCCUAAAGCAAGAAAAUCUCUACACCUAUUGCCCUUUUCUGCAAACAGCUCAACAGGUGUGGGGGCAUUUGUGGAGCCAAAAAUAUUCACUAGGCGACACGUGGAUUUGUGAACGAAAGAGGACAAAAAUACCCUUGAGGUAUAUCGGGAUUCCUACGCGCAAGUAGUGGGUAAUCAUCCUCAACCAAUUCAAAAAUGCUCCAGAAGAGGUAACUAAUUCCAAAUUAUCUUAUUUUAGGUAAUUAUUUCCAAAACUUAAUUUCCCUAAUAUAUUAUUUAGUUAAUUAAUUAUCUAAAUAAUAUAUUCUUCCCAUAUCUCCUAAAAUCAUCCCUUAAUUACCAAUUUGAAACAUCCACUCAAACCUAAAAAAAUGGGAUAGGGCCGGCUACCCCAUUCAAAGUCUAUUCCAUCACCUUUUUUUCUACCUUUUCCACCUUUCCUUCCCUUUUAAAUUAGCCAAUCAAUACCAUAAAUAAUAAAAUAUCUCCUUUCAUAUUUAAUUAGCCAAUUAAUUGGCUAAUUAAACCUAAAAUUAAACCUAAAAAUCCCAUAGUAACCGGCCACAUUCCCUCCCAUCUUUUCCCUACCUUUUUUUUUUAUUUUCCUCCACUUUAUUACUCAAAUAAAGCUAAUCAUUUAAGACCCCAUUCAUUUCUAUUUUAUUAGCCAAUAAAGGGGCUAAUAAAAAACCACAAAUUGACUAAGAAAAGGGAAGGGUGUGGCCGGCCCUUCCUUGGUGAAAAAUGGGGAAGCCUAAUCCUAUAAAUAGGCUCCUAUUCUCACCAAAAAUUCAUUCCAAACCUCUUGCAAAAAUUCCAAAACACUCUAAACACUAUUUCUCUCUAAAUUUCUAACUUUGGCAUCGGAGGUUCUUCGGCCAAAGCCCCCCCCCAUUCAUCGUGGGCGCGUGAGGCUUUUGGCCUUAACCUAAGGUGCUAGUUGUUUUGUAGGUGCAAAAUCGUCCAAGAUCGAAGAGGAGAAAAUUUGCAUCCACAACAACGAGCAGGAGCAGCAGGGCGACGAUGAGAUAUCCCGGUCGACGGCGAGAUCGGGUGGUGACGAAAGACCUCCAUGAGGAGCAGAGGGAUUAGAGAGAGAGAUAUGCAGUGGUGAUGGGGAAAGGGCGGCGUUGAUCUGGGAAAAGAGAAGGAAGGGGAGGUGAAGAGAGUGAAGAAGAGGGAGAAAUGGGUCGGGGAUUUAUGGGUUUCUGUUUUUCUGUUUUUUGUUUUUCAAAUAGAAUUGGGGGUUUCAGGAAGGUGAGGGGUGGGGUGGGGGAUUGUAGUGGAGGUGGAGGUGGAGGUGGGCGUGGGUAGGUUAGGGGGCUGCAGGGAUGGAUGGGUUUCAAGGUUUUUUUUUAUUUUUUUUAUAAUAAUUUAGAAGAUUCAGAUUUUUUUUAAAUUAAAAAAAAAAAUUUACCACGUGGCACACAUUUGGCAGCCACGUGGCACAAAUGUGGCAGCUACGUCAGCACUUAACGGAUCAAUGGACGGAAAAUCUAACGGAUGUAUUAUUUUGAAAUAAAAUGGUACAUGAUGUAUGAAAAUGAAAUGUUUUAAAGACGUUGUAUGGGAUUGUAAUAGAUCUCAAACCUGAGAGGCUACUAUGUAAUUUACCCUAAUUUUUAUUACGUGUGAAAAAUUUAUACUAAUUUUUCGGCGCAUGCUGAACCGUUAAAUCUAUUAGCGUAUGAUUAUGUAAUUUGGAAAAUUUGGAUUUUUAGUUUACUAGUGUGAUUCAAGACAGAUUUUAUAACUUCAAUAUUUAGUAAGUGAUUUGAGUGAGCUGUAUUUGCUAGUUUUUAGCUUAUAACUAAUACAACUUUCAAAUCUUGGAAGACAUCUUCUUUAUUUAGAGAUUGCCCAAGAGCAAGGAGCAUUUGAGAAUCGAUGGGAAUGACUACACUACACAGGUACAACUCUCCUUUAAUCUUGGCGUCACAGCUUUACUGAUGGCUAUUUCGAAAUCCAAGUUACUGUAUUUUGAACAAAUUCGGUGGAGUAGUGUUUUUGUUUUUACCUUCGAAUGUAUGGAAAUAGAAGAAUAAACAACUCUUUGAAGACAACUUCUUUUCGACAAAGGUGUUCAGUUACCAUUUUCGUUCACUGCUUAAUUUGUUAUACUAUGCUUCGUCCCCAAAAUUCGUCAUCUGAAGUAAUCUCAAGUUUUCAACUUCAUGAUUGGAUUUGAUGGUGGGGCGUUGAGAUGCAGUGAAUAUGUGACAUUAAAGUUGGGGAUGCAAGCCAUACGGUUGGUCAGAUACAGAUAUGCUAAUAGUAUUAGCAACCAAAUUUUUGCUGCAACAGUUCCAUUUUUUCAGAUGGAAAGUCUGACUAGCGUAUUUAUAAUUUGAUCUUUUGUAGGGUGGUGGUUCCGGCACCCAACAAAUUGUGAUCGAAGGCUCCUUAUGUGAUGAUUAUUACAAGAUUCGGGAAUAUCUCUACUCACUAUUUUAUUUGCUUUAAGUAGAGAUACAUAAUAUCUAACGCCUUUGGGUGAACCAUCAUUUGAUGCGGUGUUAAUUUCCAGUGAUUUUAGGGUACACAGUAAAGUUUAAUUUAAAUAUAAGACUUAUUUUCCGUUGAAGUUGUCAUUUUGUUCAUGCAAGAUGGAAAUCUUUUUCAGGAAUCAGGAAACAAAGCAUGUUUGAAGGGUUAGACACCCAAUUGUCAUGUUGUCCUCUUAUACCAAGUCCCACACGGGUUAAAUUCAAAUAGCACCAAGACAUUAAUGCGGAUGAAGCUUUUAACGGAAAAGAUUUUUUUUUUUUUUAAAUGAGGAUUAGUUGUGGGGCCCAUAUCAUAUCAAAGUUUAACGAUCCGAAUAGUUUAUUUUUCAAGUUACACCUCUUAGAUCAUCUUUGCAAAAUAUUAGUUAAAUCGAAAAUAUUUUGAUAUCUAAUUGAGUUCAAAUAAAUUGACGAACCCUUUUGUCUAUAAGAAACAAUGAAAUUUCAAUGAGAUAAUUAAAUAGGCAAGUGGUUUCGGAUUGAAUUGAAUUUUGCAAGGAUGAUGUAUGAAUCGAGACUUACAAAAUAGACGGCACGAAUCGUUAAAUUUCAAUGUAGAGUGGAUCCCACAACUAAUCCUUAUUUCUUAAAAAAAAAAACGAUGAUACAUCCCUUAAAUGGCAUGUACCUACGAAAACAAAACAUAACAAACAAAUUACAGUUAGACAUUUCAACUUUUUCACAUGACAAUAUGCAGUUGAGUUUGGAUAAUGCCGCAAAACUGGCAAGUAAAUUACACAAUGCCAUGCAUUUUAGCUUCUUAACGAAGGGUAAUGUUAGAGAGACUAAAUUGGAAAACAAAAUUUGCAAACUAAGGGGGGUGUAGUCAUAAUAGGAUUUGAUAGGAUUUUAAUAGACUUUAAAAUCAAGGUGUAGUCAAUUACAAUUUUAAAAGAUUUAGAAAUCAUGGUGUAGUCAAAGUAAGAUUUAAGAGGAUUUUAAAGAAUACAUCCAUAUCCAAUGGUAGUCAAUUAAGAUUUUAAAGAAUACAUAUAAAUCCAGAGUUAGUGAGAAUGCAAAAAAUUUGAUAGGAUUUGAAUGGGAGGGGAUUUUGAUGGAUUUAAAGGUGGAUCGUAUAUAUACCAAAUGCUAUCAAGAAUCCUACCAUCCCCCAUCUGAUUUCUUUUCACGUCGGCAAACAGAAAAGAACCUCCCAACCCCUUCAUCUUCAUCUAUACCUUCCUCUUCGGAACACAUCUCAUCGUCCUCUUCGACUUCGAAUUCAUCGUCUUCAUUCUCAUCUAUCAUGGAUUUUUUUUUUUCUUUCAAAUUCUACUUGUAAACAACUAUUGGGUUCUGGCAAGUUCUCUAUUUUCUCAGAAAAGGAAUAGUAUUCCUCCAUUUUUUGCCCUACCUGAGAUCCGAUGGUUCAAUAUUUUUUUAACAUAUCGCUGGAAUCAGUUUUUUUCUCCCAUGUUCUCCUCGCACGAAACCGAUUUUCAAUGGAAAAUUGCCUCAAAUCGCCAAAAUUAUCUCCAUUACCCCAAACCCACAUAACUUGCAGAAGCUCAAUGAGUUCGGCGCUGGGGAAGUGGAGCUUGCCGAAAAUUAAUGAAAUGUGGUUUCUAAUGUUAUGCUUGGUAGGUACUUGAAGGGCAGGAAGCUAGAGUGUGCAUUGAAGUUUUGGAAAAUGAUGAGCAUGGGAUUGAAAAUGAAUGGAACUACCAUGGUGAAUAUUUUUGCUACUUGCAGCUUGUGGUCAGUCUGGUAGACUGAGAAGGAAGGUUAGACACACUACUACAAAAGAGGCUAUCACUGGCGAAGCAAAAACCGACAAGAACUUCAAUUUCUGUUAGAAAUUUGGUAAAAAUCCGACAUAAAACCAUGCAAUGUUGGAUUGGAAUAGCGACAUCAUUGCUAGCAUCACGAAAGGGCUUCAAUGUCAGCUUGUCAGCUUAAUCCGCCAUGAAGCAGCGUCGGUUAAAAGUGAUAUCGAACUUUACGUCGGUUAAAAACGACGUGCUAUUCUAACAUGAUGGCGGUCAUAGUCAACAUCAAGUAGCAAUUAAACUAUAAAAUAUCCAACCCACUGUCAGUUUUAACCAACAUCAGCUAACAAUUAAAUAAAUAAAAUAUGCAAACUUAUUUGCUUUCGUUUUCAAUUAAUAAAUAUAUAAAAAGAUCUGACUUUGCUUUCGUUUUCAAUUAAUAGUAAUUAAAAAAAUUAUAUAAAAAUAAUAAUAAAUUUCAUUUAUGGGCCAAAACAAAUUCUUGCCUCUUCCGUUUUCAAUGAACCAUACUAAUGGUCUUAACAUGCUUCUUCCGCCUUAUUUAUAUGUCAAUGAAAACAAUUUUAAGCAAACUUCAUAUUAAAAAUAAAAUUUCUAAGAACUAUAUAUUAAAUUGAAAAUUAAUAACAUUUCUUAAAAAUGUACAACACAUACAAAUUCUUGCCGCACUUUAUUCCAGUAUGCCACCAACUCAACCCAUUGUGCAGCAUUCACAUCAGGAGGAGGGUGGCUGCACACCACGGCUGCUCUCUUAGUAUAAUACGGUUUUUAAAACUUAUUUCUAUACUCUUUGUGCGUAUGCUCUGCAACCUAAAGAUCAUGUAGCGGAUCAUAGGCAUUUUUGCUAUAUCUUCAUCUUCAAAAAAAAUAUUCCCUACAUCCAUAAAAAAAUCAAGCUAAUUAAUAAUUAUUAUAAUCAUUGACUUAUUCUUCUAUUUUCAAAUUUAAAAAAAAAAUAUAUAUAUAUAUAUAUAUGCCUUUAUCCUAUUCCAGAAAACUUCCUUAUCUUGUUCCUUAAUCUUACGUCAAUCACUCAUCAACGGGAGAUUUUUGUAAUCUCUAACCUCCCACUACAUAUUUUGAAAAGGCACUAGAAAUAUCACUAAUGCAUUUUCUAGACGAAUCAAACGAACAAAGUUGUUUUGUCCAUUUGGGAAUUGAGGGUCCGCGCCUCUGUUGAGAUGUUCCUUAUUCAUACAAAAAAAAAACAAUUAAAAGCCAAUAAACAAAAGUAAAUUUUCAAUUUAAGCAUAAUACUAGUUUAAACACAAAACAAAAACUGAAAUUAAUAAUAAUUCAAAAAUGAACUAGCUUCGAACUCUUCCUCUUCGAAAUGGAGUUCCUCAUAAUGUUGAUCUUCACUUUGUUGAUCUAUAGCAAAAGUUAGUGGAAGGAGAAUGAGUAAGGCUGAAAUGGAGGAAAGAGAGGGAGUAAGGACGCACGAGCGCAAAACUAAAGAAGUAAACGAGAUAAAGCGAAAUGAAAGCACGGAAGUAAUAGGGAAGAAAUGGGUUUAAAUAUGGAUAAUAAGUUGGCGUCGGUUAAGACCGAUAGUGGUUGUAAAUGACGUCGAAAUAUGUACACUUUGCGUCGGUAAAAACCAACAUCUACUCUGACACACUAACUAAAAUGCACGUGGCGUCGAAAUAUUUGGACUUCACGUCGAUUAAAACCAACACUAAGUCUAACACGACUUAAAUGCACGUAGUCUGACACACUUGACUGAAAGGCAACUGGCGUCGAAAUAGGAAAAAAUUGUGUCGGUUAAAACCGACGUGAGCCUGACAGACUUGACAAUGAUUGCAAGUGGCGUUGAAAUAAGAAAAUUUUACGUCGGUUCAAACCGACGUGAGCCUGACAGACAUGACAGUGAUUGCAAGUUGCAUGGAAAUAAAAAAAGUUGCAUCGGUCAAAACCGACGUGAGCCUGACAAACUUGAUUGUGAUUGCAAGUGGCGUCGAAACAAACGUGAAAAUUCCCGCCCAAAAUAUUUCAAUUUAACACGGGGGAGAGUAUAUAAAGGUCAUCAAUCUAUCACUUAUAACUGACACUGGAUUUCAAAAUAUUUAAAAAACUUAAAAUAUAUGUUGGUCAGAACCGACGCAGGCUUUAAAAUAUUUAAAAACAAUCACUAGUGUCGGCUAGAAGCGACACCUACUCCAACACCAACUUUAUGUCGCUUAAAAUUGACACAGUUUUUUUUAAUGCAACACCAGUAUUUAAAAAUUAUUAAAAUCUAUGUCAGUUAUAAGCGACAUUAACGAGCUAGGGUGUGAGCCAUAUCUUAGCUAUAGAAAUAAAUUCUACAACCAAGAUAUGGUGAAAAAUUAAAUUAAAUUAUAAAGACUACACAUACAUUAGAUAACAAAAUCUUACAAAAAAAUUAUCAAAUAUGCAGAGGAAUAACUAUAGUGCACAAAUUAAUUCACAACAAAAUAAUAAUUAAAUUGUAACAAUUCUUUCAAAUGCAUGAAAUAUAUGCAAAUGGAAUGGAUGAAUGUACUUACUCCCUUCUAAUCCCGUCAACACAUACCUAAAGCACCCAAGCAUGCACGUCUCAUACCAUGCUUAUACCAUUUGGCUCCGAAUACCUUAUAAUAUGAGUUAACUCCCGUUCAUCCCUUAACCCAAUUUUUGUAAUUAAACUCUCAGUUUCCACUUUAUUAAACAUGCAUUCCCCCUGACGCCUGACAUAUACAAGAUUUCAUUAUUUUAUAAUAAAUCAAUUUGUAUACUCAAGCCCUGCACCCUACGCCUGACAUAUACAAGGUUCAUUAUUUUAUAUUCAAGGCAAACUUCAGCCCUUGAAUAGCCUCACAACGCAAACACUUUACAAACUCAACACAACUCUUUUUCUUGUUUUGCAAUGCAUAUGUAUAUGCCAUGUUCACAGAGAUAUCAAUACUCACAUUUUCUUUAACAAGCCUGUAAGUUUCAACAUAAAUCAAAUUGAUUAGUAACAAGAGUAAUAUAAUCAUAAUAUUAACAAAAUAAUAAUCUUUGAUGUAAAUGAUAAGCAAUAUAUUACCAUUUCUUCAUUUUGUCGAUCCUCCUUUUCCAUUAUGUUUCUAUUUAAUAACUCAGUGUUUAAAUGGUUUGCUCAACUCAAAUUUAUUGCAAUUAGACAAAGGAACACGGAGAUUUAAGUGGCUCACCAAUUUGGCUACGUCCACUAGGGUUGCAUAUGCAUUUAUGUUUUCACUAUGUAAGAGAGAUUUACAAAAAAAAAAAAACAAUGAAGAUGGCCUAGAGCCUUUACAUAAGGUAAAAGAAAAGGAUGGUGGGAAGAGUGGUAUAUGAAGAAGAUGAGGUUUUGUUUCUUUUUCCCCGUGUGUUGUUGAUGAUGUUGUGUGUUGUUCUUCUCCCCGUUUCUCUCCUCCCUUUGCUUUUAUGGAUGAAGAAAUGGAAUCCUCCAUUAAGCCUUAAUGACAUGUUUCACUUUGUUUUGCAAUACUUGGACAUCUUGUAAUUGGAAGCAAUCAUUCCCAUGCAUGUGGACAAAUACUCAAAAACCACGUUCAAAGUCUAAGGAUUAUGAAUCCCACAUCUCCAAUUUUGGAGGGGAUGAAUCAUCACCAAAGAUUUAACUCUUACAUUCCUAAUUAUUACAAACUUGCCAACUCACUCUCAUGUAAACUUCCACCUCUUCACCCUAAUCAUUAACUUCUAUUAAUUAUCACCUCCACCUCAUCCUUGGGAGAAAAAUGAAUCAAGCAAAAACUACUCAAAUAAUCCCACCUUAAGCUCGGCUAUAGCAAUGAUAAUUGCCAUUAGCAAGUAAAAACAACUUUUAAGGCCUACCAAAAACAAUCUAAUACAUGUAUAAGUUACCUACAAAAUUACAAAACUACAAUGAGGAUGGCAAACACUAGAAACCUCUCUAGUUAGAGAAAUUUGAGUUUAAAAGUACAAGCUAGGCUUAGAUAUAUUCUUGUAGUGAAGGAAUCCCUACUAACUUACAUGUCGAAAAUACAAGUUCUUGUACCUAUAAUAUAUAAAAUGAAAUUAAAAAAAAUCAUUACAUUUGAAAUAGAUAUAAGUACUUGCACACACAUUUAUAUAACCAUUUAUUUAUUUUUAAAUACGGGGUAUUACAAGACCCAUAAGUGAACACACAUUGGAACAUUGGAGUUGUUUGAGUCACAACAACUGCAUGAUUUCAUUAAAAAUGAUCUGACAGCUCUGCGUGUGAUUUUCAAUUUUUUCAAAAUCCUAAUAUGUCACAGCCCGUUCCGAGAUUAUAUAAAUAUUGGGGACUUGAAAUGACAGAAUUACCCUUAGAGGGUAUUAAGGUAUGUAUGUGUGUAUGUUGGACAUAUUUCCUUCAUUCCUAAACUUUUGGAAACAAAUUAUUAAGUGGGAUUUAAAAUGUUGGAUUGUUUGUGUGGUUAGGGAACUAGGAAGAGAAAUGAAUGGUCAUGAUUUGUGAGGGAACACGCACACAUUUCCUUCUCUCUCACUCACCCUGUGUCUCUCUCUCUCUCUCUCUCUCCUCCUUUACGGAUCUCUCUCACUCUCUUUCUCUCGAAUUGUACGGCCACACCCAAGGACUCUCUAAACAUCACGGAUUGAAGCUAACAAGGUAUGGUUCUUCAUCAUUUUGACGUUCUGAGUUGAAUGGUACUAGUUUUAGGAAGUGAAACCCUCAAAAUCAUCGUGAAACCCUAACCCCAAAAUUGUGCACUGUUCAUGCACACGUAAAAUCUUGCAUUUCAGGAAAUUCUAAUCUUAUAGUAAGCUUAGUGAGGUCCCAAGGAAUUUCGGAGUGCUUCGUUUGAAGGUUUUGGACGUCAGGAUCGUCGGGUUCGAAGUUGGCCGAAUUGGAGGAUUUUCCCGACGAAAUUUCAGAGGUUUUUAAAGGUAUAGAUCCCUUCCCCUCUUAAUUUAGAGCUCGUAGGUGAAAAUUUCAUGAAAAAUGGUGAAGAAACGAGUGAGAAAGGUCGAGUUGCAGGUUUCCGGCGCCGGCGACACUGUGCUGGCGACGCGAGGAAGAAGAAGCGCGCGUGGGGGCGCGUAGGUCCGUGCCACCCACGGCGCGUGGGGCUGCGUGGAAAACCCAAAAAUUUUUCUAAAAAUUUGUCGACGUCUAUGACGUCGAGUAGGUCGAUGUGGUAUAUUCACAUACCCAAAUUGAGCACCGUAUGAGAAGUUAUUUCGAAUUGUUGAUUAUGUGUUUUAAUUAACGUUUCUAUAGUUGUUUUGCAUAUAGGUGACACCUAUCCCGAGGACGAGCGCAUCCAAGGACGUCACGGGGGUUACGACCAAUCGACUUACCAGUGAGUGGGCAGUUUUUGUUUUCGUAUUACCUAUAUACUAUUGAUUUUUUUCCCAUAAAAUGAAUUUAUAUGAAAAUACGUUUUAAAAUGCCAUGCAUGCAUAUUAUGAGAUAUUUGAAUUGAUAAUUGAUGCAUAUAUAUAUAUAUAUAUGAAUUGAUGUUGUGGACGCACAGGUGAGUGUUACAUUAUUCAUACGAUUUAUUUUAUGUGAAUUGCAUUGAAAGCUCAUAACUUGCACCCUUGGUGUUAGUGCUUAUAUUAUUCACUGCACCGCACGCUCGCCUUGGAUCCAAGUAGGUGAAUGUCAUACAUACCAUGUGAGGGUUCCGACAUGCUAGUCGUAUAGAUCGCUAGAGGUGAUUCCGACUAGUGGGUAACCUUAGUUUAUGCGUGCCGAUGAUUGAUGAGAGAAGCACUAGAGCAUAUUCUUACACCUUUCCAUCGUACAGACUACCUUACGUAGUUCCGAGUGACGUGCAGAGUAGGGCCGUAUAGGUCACUGUGGUGACUCCGGCUAGGGGGAAUACUGAGCUAUAGAAUUAGCCGUACAAGACCAUUGUAGGGUCUCCGGUUAUUUCAUUAUAUCACCUGUCAUAUUGAUGCAUCCAUAUUUUUAAUCAUUGACAUUAUUGCUUGGCAUAAUUACUGGAUUUUGAUAAACUUGAUGCUUUGAGCAAUUUGAGUAAAUAUUAUGCUACUAUGUUAUUUUUUGGGAAAGUAUACAGGUUUUACAGAGAGGGGUUAGAAAUGUUUUAAAUGAAAUGUUUUGGAAAAUCUUUGGUUUUACUGACCCACUCAACUUUGUUUUGCGCCCCUCCAGGUUCUAGUUAGCAGUUGGUGGCUCACGAGGUCCUUUUCGGCGUUCUGAUAGACGUCCUGCAUGUAGGACUCACCUGCGGGUGUUGUACUUUUAAUUAUAGUCCUACUUGACUGCACCUAGUAUCUACGCUCUGAAAUUGUGUGUUUUACUUUGUAACCUCACUCUAGUAUGCUAGUUGGUUAUUACUGCUAGUGGUUGGUUUAAAUUCCUUCAUAUUUCUCAUAUCUUUUGUUUCCGUGUCGCACUUUUGGCUACGUCACGCUCACGUGACGGCCAGCACGUCUUGAUUCUAGGAUUGGGGUGUGUCAUAAUAAAUCUAUGGAAGAAAUCUAUACAAAUCCACAAAAAUCAUAAUGAAAAUCCAUAUAAAUCUUCUAAAAUCCAUAGAGAAUUAUAAAGUCUAUUAAAAUCCUUUGAAAUCUAUCACUAAAAAAAAUUCAUUAAAAUUCUCUGAAAUCCAAAUUGACUACACCCCUAAAUGAUGUGUCACAAAUAUAAAUGAGUACGUUUAUCAACGCUUAAAUAAUAAACUAAUUAACAACUUCUAUGUUUUUGUUUUCAAAAUUUUAUUUGAUAAAUUUAAUUUCUAUAGCGUUACUCUUUAACAAAACAAUAUGUGAUUGCCCGGCCCAUGACUAGAUUUCGAAGUCAAUGUCAACGUUCGUCAGCAAUUACAUCACUCCAAAAUUUCUGAAAAAUCGAAGUAUGAGUUUUCUUGCUCCACGAGGACAGAAAGGGAUCCUUCCAUCUGAGCCAACCAGGCAUAAAAUCUAAAUCUUUAAAAUUUAAUCUUACGAUUAAAAUUAUUAUAAUUUUUAAUAUUUUUUUUUAUUUUUAAUCGUUAUAUCAAAUUUUAAGUGUUUAUAUUUUUUGCUUAGUUAGAAGGAAUCUGAAGAUUAUCCUUUCCCACCCUACAUUAUCCAACUCUCUAUAAAAUAUAGAAAAUAAUAAUUUAUUAAGCAAAGGCAUUUGCCCAUCGUCUGAUUGCUGACGAUUCACUAUGGAAACCUGGUUCCUUAUCCUCACCGCCCUCUGCGUCUCCUUCCUCCUCAAAGCCCUUCUUUCUCUAUUCCUACCCACUUCCAUCUCCAAACCCAAGCCCCCUCCUGGGCCCCGCUACAUCCCCAUCAUCAGCACCUUGUUAUUCCUCCUCAAAUCCUUCUCGGAGCUCGAGCCUAUCAUCCGCAAACUACAGGCCAAACACGGGCCCAUCAUCUCCCUCCGCUUCGGCUCCCGCUCCGCCGUCUUCAUCGGCGACCGCUCCCUCGCCCACCAAGCCUUAAUCCAGAACGGUGCCGUGUUCGCCGACCGCCCCCGGGCCUUGGCCACCAACGAGUACGUCAGCAGCAACCAGCACAACAUCAGCUCCGCCCGAUACGGCCCCACUUGGCGCCUCCUCCGCCGCAACCUCACUUCCGAAAUCCUCCACCCUUCCCGCGUCAAAUCAUACGGCAACGCCCGCAAAUGGGUUCUCGACAUCCUAGUCAACCGCCUCAAAACCGAGUCUCAAUCCCAGUCCGAAUGCGGCGGCGGCGGUGGUGUCAGGGUGGUCGACCACUUCCAAUACGCCAUGUUCUGCCUCCUGGUUCUGAUGUGCUUCGGUGACAAAUUGAACGAAGAGCAAAUCAAAGAAAUCGAGCGCGUUCAGCGCCAACAACUUUUGAGUUUCGGGCGGUUCAACAUCCUCAAUUUCAAGCCGAAAUUGACCAAGAUUCUCUUAAAAAAUCGGUGGCGGCAAUUCUUCAAAAUCCUCGAGGAACAACGAGAAGUGCUCGUCCCUCUGAUUCGAGCACGACAAAACAGGGCAAAACAGGGCAGCAAAAACGAUGACAAAGACGAUGAAUUUGUGUUGUCGUACACUGAUACGCUGCUGGACCUCGAGCUUCCCGACGGCAACGAAAAGCGGAAGCUUUCGGAGGGAGAAAUGGUCAGCCUCUGCUCAGAGUUUCUGAACGCCGGCACCGACACGACUUCCACCGCACUGCAGUGGAUCAUGGCCAACGUAGUCAAGUACCCACAAGUUCAGGAGAAGCUGUUUGCGGAGAUUAAAGGGGUUAUGGGGGAAACGGAGGAGGAGGUGCGGGAGGAGGUCCUGCAUAAGCUGCUGUAUCUGAAAGCCGUGAUCUUGGAGGGGCUGAGGCGCCACCCGCCGGGGCACUUUGUGCUGCCGCACGCGGUGACCCAUGACGUGGUUUUGGGCGGACACCUGGUGCCCAAGACGGGGAGUGUUAAUUUCAUGGUGGCGGAUAUAGGGUGGGACCCGCAAGUGUGGGAGGACCCCAUGGCGUUCAAGCCGGAGAGGUUCUUGGGCAGCGGCGGAGAAGAAGAAGGGUUCGAUUUGAUGGGGAGUAGGGAGAUUAAGAUGAUGCCGUUUGGGGCAGGGAGGAGGUCCUGUCCUGGGUCUGGAUUGGCGGUGCUUCACCUGGAGUACUUUGUGGCGAAUUUGGUGUGGAAAUUCGAGUGGAGAGCUAUGGACGGAGAUGACGUGGACCUGUCUGAGAAGCAGGAGUUUACUAUGGUGAUGAAGAAUCCAUUGCAAGCCAACUUAAUCCCAAGAAGUUGAUGUGUGCGAGAAUUCUGUUUUAAUUCUUCGACGCAUGUUUAGCUGUUAAACUCGUAUGAUCUUCAUUGAUUAUCUAAUCUCGAAUAUUUGGGUUUUUAGUUUGCUUAUGUGAUCCAACGCAGAUUUUAUAAUUGAAUAUAAACAUAUCCUGAUAAAAAUUAAUUAUACGAUUUACGAUGAACGGAUGUGAUUUAAAGAUUUCCGAAAUGAUCUUGCGAGAAUCCUCCCUUCUGUAUUUGGUGAGUGACUUGGGUGAGCUGUCAUUGCUCCUUGCUAGUCACUUCUCAAAUCUCUUCCUCUUCUUUUACUGUUUAUUUAGAGACCGCCCAACAGCAAAGAGUAUUUGAGAAUUGAUGAGAAGCCUACAUAGGUACAAGUCUCAUUUAAUCUUGGUGUUACAGCUUAGCUGAUGGUUAAUUUGAAAUCCAAGUUAAUUGCGGGUCUGAAUAAAUUGGAUGGAGUAGUGUUUUUGUUUUCAACUGUUCAUAUAUAUGGAAAUGGAGGAAUAAGCAACUCUUUGAAGCCAACUUCGCGAGCGCAAGGCUGCGGAGGAAUGGUAUGACGCCUCUCAUUGUGUGUGCUCUAAUGUUCUUAAGAUGCAAGUGUCUUUGGCUUGGGAUCCACCCACUCCACUGCAGGGAGGGUGAGGCUUAAUGUUUACGGUUUUCGGAUCGAUGCUCCUAGAAAUAUAGAUAGAUGAGGAGUUUUUUGAGAUAACAUCGGUGAUUGCCUUGGAAGGUUUUUGUCAACUUGGGCAAGGGGCAAGCGAUCGAUGCUGAUGUUUGGGGGCUAAAUUUUGGACUAAAACUUCCAGUUGACAAUAGUAUAUAAAGAUUGUGCGGAGAUGAAUUCCGCUUUAGUGGUUAAUUACAACUGAUACCAAUUUCAUUCCCUUGGAAACAUCAGUGCAGACAACUUAUGACACGUAUAACUGAAUGUGAGUUAGUGCAUGUCUACCAAUAGAAGAACAUGAUGACAAAUAAAAUUGUCAACUGGAGCUAUGUUAUGGAUCUUGAGUACCAUAACAUAGCUUCAGUUGACAAUUUUAUUUACUUUUGUAUUUACUUUUGGCUUCACUCGAUUGAAUUCAAUCAAUGGAUUACAAUUCGAAAAUAGAAGGUUAGGCAAAGCAACGAGUGGAGAAGAACCCGUUAAUUUAUCAGAUGUUCAUAAUGAGGUUGAAGGGAUUUUUAAUGAUAUUUCAGUAUUGUAAUAUUUUCGAUAUUUUAACUGUGAAAUUUUUAGUUAAAAAUAUAAAAAUAAAAAUUUAAAGAUUAAAAAGCUAGUAUCUUAUACUCUAUAACACAUUAGUUUGUCGAAAAAAGUAGUAGAAAGAUGAGAUAUAAUUUGCAACAACAUCGAAUUAUUUUGCGUAUUAAUUAACGAAAAUGUUGCAAAACCUUUAGAUGUGAUUUUACUGUUUAUUAGGUCUCGGACAAUUGUAAUGCCUUCAUCAUCCCAUUUGAAACUCAUAGGUAUUGAUAACCCACGGAAUAACUCAUUGGACACGACAAAUGUCGAACUGUUGUCAGCUCUUUGAACAGAGAUUUGUAUAUACCAUUAUGCUUCAUCAUAUUAACAUUUCACCAGCUGCCUCAGGUUGGUGGUGAUAUAAGGAUGGAAAACUUGAUGAAGGCGCUGCUAGUUUGAUACUCGACAUGAGGCCUUCAAAAGUCGUAUCGACUGAAUUGGUCGUAAGUAGAAGUCUGCUAAAUUAGUUUAUAGUUUUAUCAAUCUUGACGUCAACUGAGACUAUGUUCCAUCUCUAAUUCAGGUUCAUGAAGUGUGCAUUGUUCGGGCACUCAACAAAUUGUGAUCGAAGGCCCCUUGUGUGAGGAUUAUUACAAGAUUCGGGAGUAUAUAUCUCAACUCCGUUCGAGUGAAAUUUCGAUAAAAUCAAGGGAGAGACUGAGAGCAUGCGAGCAAAAAUGGAGGGAUAUGAAGAAGUUUAGGUAUGUUGAAUGGUUUAUGGAUUUGCAGAGAUAGAGAAAUGAGAGAUGGAGGAACUUGGUGGGUUUCAGUUUGGAAUCGAAGAAGGGAGAAGGCUCUAGAAGGUUUCAAAAUGACGAAGCGAGAGGGCCGAAGGGAAAUUGCCAAGUUUGUUUGAAAUAGGCUCUAGAAGUUUUCAUUGUAUUAUAGGAAUGAGCCCAUUCAUUCAUCCAAAUUGGUGGGUUUCUAAUCCCCCAGCAAUGCCCAACCAUUGUAUAAUAGAAAAGGGUCGGUCUCGGGCCCCGUGGGUCUGAAGAUUUGGAAUUGCCCCAUCCUGGAUAUAUCACCUUCCCGUCCCGCCCCGUUCCGCCCCGCCUCAUUUACUCUCUAAAAAAUUUGGACCCGCCGCAUACCCGGCCCGAACCUUGAUUACCCACCCUGACCCACGAGUUCUCUACCUGUUUCGCCACCCCUACCUUGAACUAUCUCCUCCGUAAAAAUUAGGUUCUUGAAUUAUUUUUUUCGGCAAAAGAAGUCCCUAAAUUCAUUACAAAUUGCUAAUUUCAUCUCUAUUAUUAUAUUCAAAGGUAUUUUAUCCAAUGUUUCGUCAACUUAAGUCACUUGACACAUUUUAAAAUGUAAUACCGUCAUUUUCUCACCUAUAAGCCCUUACCAUUUCAUAAUCUAAUGUCUAAUUUACCCUUCAAAGUUAACUCCACAUACAAUUCUUUGUGAAAUUUACCAAUCUACCCUCUAAUAUGCAUCAUAUGCAAGUAACGUAACUUAAAAUUGACAGAAAAUUGAAUAUAGUAGAUUCGAAUCUAAUAUUAGAGAUAUGAUUGACAGAUUUUUAUAAUUCAAUGACUGAUUUUUCUAAAAAAUUAGUUUAGGGACCUAAUUUUUACUUAGACGAUAAUUCAGAAUUAAAUUAGCAAUUCACCCCAUUGUAUAUAACAACUUGAGAUGAACUGUCACCUAAUCACAAUGUUAAUUUUCAGUGAAUUCACGAAGCACAAUAACGUUUUAUUUGAAUGUGACUUAUUUUCGGCUGAAGUUGUCAAUCUGUUCACGUAUUUCAUGAAAGAAACAGAACAUGUUUGAUGAGUGAGAGGCCCGUGCGUGUUAACGUAAAAUAGUACCAAAGACAUUACAUCCGUACGUAAACAAAACAUUGCAUGCGAAUUACCUUUUUCACGUGGUAACAUAUAUGUGGUUGAGUUCGGAUUCUCCUAAAAAUUAGGUCAAACACUAAGGACUAUGUUUUCUGACACAUUGAGAAUAUUAGCAGAAAAUAAAACUAAUGGAUCACAAAAGGGAUUCUGUUCGUUCCUCUUAAUUCAUUAAGUUUAAAGAUUUAGAUUGUUAAAACUUAAUUCAACAGGAAUUUAUUAUAACUUUUAAAGUGAGUUCUUAUUUAUAGCUGUUGGAUCAAAUUUUAACGAUUCGGAUCCUGAACUUGAUGAAUUAGAAAAAAGAGAUCCGGAUCAUUUUCCAAUAGAUAAUUAUCCAACAGCUUUGAUGAUCUCCGCAUCAGUACAGUGUUCGUCAGCAAAUCAAUAAUUCGUCGGUAUUUUCUUCGUCACCACGCUAUUUUCAUCUCUUUUCUUGCUCACCAGGAUUUCUUCAUCUCUUUAUAUAGUUGUGGAAAAUUAAUAAUUUAUUGUCUGAUUGCUUACAGUUCACCAUGGAAACCUGGUUCCUUAUCCUCAUUGCCCUCUGCGUCUCCUUCCUCCUCAAACCCCUUCUUUCUCUAUUCCUACCCACUUCCGUCUCCAAACCCAAGCUCCCUCCCGGUCCCCGCUCCAUCCCCAUCAUCGGCGGCUUCUUGUGGAUCCUGAAACCCUUCUUGGAGAUCGAGCUUAUCAUCCGCAAACUCCAGGUCCAAUACGGGCCCAUCAUCUCCUUCUCCAUCGGCUCCCGCUCCACCGUCUUCAUCGCCGACCGCUCCCUCGCCCACCAGGCCUUCAUCCAGAACGGCGCCGUAUUCGCUGACCGACCUGGGGCCUUGGUCACCAACAAGUACACUACCAGUAACCAGCACACAAUCGCCUCCGCCGGAUACGGCACUACGUGGCGCCUCCUCCGCCGCAACCUCACCUCCGAAAUCCUCCACCCUUCCCGCGUCAAAUCCUACGGCAACGCCCGCAAAUGGGUUCUUGACAUCCUCGUCAACCGCCUCAAAACCAUGUCUCAAUCCCACUCCGAAGGUGGCGUCGUCGGUAGUGUU